CCCACUCCGACUUCUCCAGCCUCGUCCAUGCCUGCGAGCUCCGCAGCUUGCUUCGAAAUGGUGCAGGCGAAGAGCUUCCACUGGCUCCGCCACGGCUGAGCCGACGUCGCAGAGAGCGAAGACCGACUCCUCCGCUGCCAGGAUCGGGCUGCGUGGCUUGGACGAGAGAUUGGAGGAGAAUUUGAGCCAGCGGUCGUCCUCUCCGGCGGAGAAGUAGAGCGCGACAAGCUCAGUGAGGACCAUGACUCUACCGGUGGAGUCAACGAGGACGGAGCCGUGUCUUGAUCAAGCGGAGCCGAGAUGGGGCAAAGUGCGGAAGCGGCGCGUGAGGGGGUUGUAGAGGAGGAGGGACUUGGAUGAGUCAGAGGGGGAGUCGGCCCAGAGGUAGAGGAGGCCGGAGGAGGAGGCGACGAGGUGGGUGGAGCGGAAGGGGAGGAAGUCGAGAGAGAAGCGGAGCCAGCGGUGGAGGCCUUUACAAUUUUUCUUCGAUAGUCUCAAUCCCAAUCCAAUUCUUUUCUAGUAUAACAAACAUCCUAUUGAAUAGGAGGCAGACAUCUCCAAAUCCAAUCUAGUCCUUGGUACCAAACACGGCCAAUGAGUUUAUGACUGGAUUUGAUGAACCUGUUUUUUGGUAUGUAAGGAAAACCAGUUGCAUAGUACCAGUUGUGGUUUGGUGUUAAUUUAAUAUGAAUGUUGUUUAAGAAACGUGUUUCCUUCCUUUUAGUCCACUGAAGAAGACAAUAGCUAGAGUGUAUAUAUAUGCGACUUUUAGACCAAAGGACUAAUUCGCUGGGCCAGACAACAAACAUGGCAUUGCAGUUAUUUUUCUGACCAGUUUUAACAGUUUCGUGGUUCGAAUUUAGGUUAGAGAGCACACAUAAUUAAAUAAGAAUUACUAGAUUAUCUUGCGGUGGUUAUAUGAUUUUGGUUUUGAGACAAACUUUCCUACCAGAUAUUCUGAUAUCUAUUGUAAGUAAAAUCCAAACAAUAUACUAUGUAAGAUACUUUAGUUGUUCUAUUUACCAUGAAAUCAAGAAUUUGUCAAACAACAAUUUCUGCAAGCCUGUCUAAUGUAUGAUAUAUCAUUAUGAACUUACAUUAGAUACAACUCGUUCAACCGUGAAGGAAAAAAAAACUCAUUCCUUGUCUUAAUGUAACAACUAUUACACCAUGCAAUUCAUGCUUAUACACUUGUAGCUUUGGCCAAAUUAAUUACUUAGUGACCAUCUUUGGAUUGACCUAAACGUCAUCUUUUUGGUUGUGGAACUUCUUUAAAAUCAGCUUUGGGGUAUUUUAAAUCCAAUUAUGUUUGCAUAUUAGACAUCUGUAAUCUUGUGUUAGCUUAAAAGCCUUUGAAUAAUCUGCUCAAGAAACAUGUGUUUCCUUGAUUUCAGUCCAUUAAACAAGAUUACAUAUCAACAAAAGAGGAAUUAGGUUCAAAGGCCUUCUUAAUUUAAGGGUUAGGUAGAAAGAAAUAUAUAAACCAUAAGCUGUUGGUGACUAAUUAAGACCUGAAAUGCAGACAGAGUUGUUAAGAAACAUGAUCUAAUAUAUCUAUGUUUUCUUUGAUUUCAAUGUCAUCUUUUAAUUUUAUGCGUUUGAUUUUAGUGUCAUCUUUGGUUGUGUUCACUUGUAGUUUGGAAUUUCAUGGCAUGCUGGAUCUUUCGGGAAUGAAAUUAUUGCACGCAUUUCCAUGCAUAAAACUAUAGCUCACACAGUACUGUUCCACCAAAUUACCAAAAGUUAUAAGGUCUCAAUCGAAUUGAACCUCUAAUGAAGUUAUGUGUGAGAUUUGAGAACAUGAGAGAUAAAUGUAAGGCUGGGCAUAAAAUCCGAUCAAGGAAAAAAAACCGAUAAAACAAAUCCGGACCGGUUAGUUCGGGUCGGGUUUUUUUUUUCUGACCCAUUAUAUUUUUUACCGGUCUGAUCCGGUCUUAGUUAACUACAGGUUCGGGCACGGUCUGUCAAUCCCUAAAAUUUCAAAACCCCGUGUUAUAUGUGUAUGCUCAAUUAUUUAUGGAUUAAGGGGUUGUACGUUAAUAAUCUAGGGUCAACUACACCUAAUUUUUUAGUCAAGUUUAGGGCCAAAAGAUUAAAACUCACUCAAGACACUCUCAUCUCUCUCAAUCCCACCCCAACCUGUCUCUCUCUUACAUGACACAUCGAUUCUCUCACGACCUCACCCAAUCCCCACACUCAUUUGCCCCCGACGUUGGCAAAUCGAAUCACCACAACAAUAACAUCAACAACCACUUCACUUGUCCCUCCUCCGCGUCUUUAACCCUUCGCCGCCGCCAUAAGGGGUUCUCACAUGUAGAGCUUCGGAAUCCUUGCCGCUCUCCCCGAUCGAGGAGAUGCCUCAUCUCUGAAUCUGUGGAGCCACUCACACUUCUACCACAAGGCCUCAGCUUCGUCGUCCUCCUCGCCUUCGCCUGGCAUGUAUUGCAGAGGAGGCCUUCAAUCCAUCUGGUCUUGCCAUGGUGAGAUGAGAUCAGUGGUAUGUAUUAGGCUUUGUAGAAUGUGGGAUAUGAGUUUCUCCAAUCUCCCUAGCUUUUCUCUUUCCCGGAUAAGGAACUUGAGCUACUGAUUGACAGUGAUUGAAAUGUGAUUUGGUGGUGAUUGAUAUGGGAUUUUUGGUGGUGAUCGGCGAUGAAAUCAAAUAUGAGACCGAAGGCUUGAAGGACCGGCCGAUUUUUGACUGGUCCAGUCUGGGACCGUGCCCAGCCCUAGAUAAAUGUAAUUCAAUCAAAACAUUAUUCUCUCAUUCACAUGCCAAGCAAUUUUGAACAUAUCCACGAACGAUCUUCAAUUGUAUUCAUAGACAGUGAAUAAUUUUACAACCAGAAAAACCUCCACUUGAAAGAGACAAUUUCUUUGUGACGACCUCAGAUCCACCGCCUCAUUUUGCCUUGUUAGAGCCAUAGAAGAUAUGCAAGUCUUGCAGCCUUGGCAUCGAUAUCCUCGUUGUUUGAGAAGAAAACCCUAACCCUAGUUUAAAGAAGGGAGAAAAAACGGCAUGUACAAAUGGAUAUAUAAGGUUAUCAUUGUUAGUUUGGAACAUUAUUUAUUGUAUAUUUGAGAAUUCAAAAUAAAUCGAUAUCUUAACUUUUUGAGUAUCUCAAAUCAUGUAAUGUAGCAUUAGUUGAUCACAGUGUUGAAACCUCUAACCUGGCCACACCCUUCUAUUUGAUCUUUGAGAAAAAUUUAAGAACAGUAUAUGACAAAUUGUCAAUUCCUAAUUUUGGUGUUUCAAGUUUCAAAACAAUCAUAAUGGUACAUGAACUUGUAAUCUCAACCAAAAAUAUGUACAUACCGUUACAUUCUCCGUUAUCUAACGUGUUUUCCAUUAAACGUUUAAGAGCAAAUCCGUCACUCCUUAAUUUAGCAGUAAUAAAUUAUUAAAAUCAAUAAUUAAAUUAAUAAUUAAUAAGGAGAGGGAAAUGAGAAAAGAAAAAAUAUUAUUGUCUCUCUUUUUCGUCCCCGUUCAAACCCAGCAUACACAAAAAUGACGAUUGAGGUAGGACCGUAGGAGGAAGUUGAAAGAUGAUUUGAUUAAAAAAGUCUUUGAGAAUAUAUGGUCCGAGUUUACAAAAUUAAAAAAGUAUAUAAAUAGAAAAAAAUUUCACCAAAAAAAAGAAAAAGAAAACAUAAUAUAAAGAAAGAGGAAUGCAGAAAACCCGAAACCACCUUUUGAAAAAUGAGAAAUUACAUAGAGUUAACAGUGUUAUUGACAACAUAUGUUAAAAAUGCACUGGUUUUUAAACGUCAUGUACCAUUUUGAUUGUUUUAAAACUUGAAAUACCAAAAUUGAGAAUGAACUGUUUGUCAUGUACUGUUUUUAAAAUUUUCCCUUAAUCUUUUGGGUUUGAAUAUAUCUCUGCUGCAUGGUUAGCUUGAUUUAUUAUUAGUACAUGCAACCCUGUUUCCCCGUCCAUAUCUUUGUAUUUUGGUUGCCCCCUUAACAUGUAUAUGCCCCCUUAACAUGUAUAUGUGUGGUUGCACGGAGGGAAGAUCAAGGGUCUAAUCUCUGUAUGUAUAGCAUUCUUAAUCCAUAACAACUUGAACUUCUGAGGACAACUUUAGUUUGUUAUCUAACAACACCACCCCAAAUGAGCAUCAUUACACCAAUCCCGUUCCCUUUCUUCACCAUGCCAACCAUGCCACUCUUCAACCUGUUCUUUCCCAAGCUACUUUGCAACCCUCAAAUCCAAACUUCCACCACUUCCAUUUGAACCAAGUCCCACAUAAUAGUUCUCUCUCUCACAACCAGAGUAAUCUCCAUAACCAUAGCAUGACUUCUACCUCUCGUUCCCCCACUGUGAGUAAUGUGACACAAAACUGGAGCCCCCCUCCUCCUGGUCAUAUUAAAAUAAAUUGUGAUGCAGCAUGGAUAGAGAGUUCGAAGCUUACAGGUAUAAGUGCGUUAGCGCGUGACUGCCAUGGUAUCCUCUUUGAUGGAGCUACCUUGUUGUGCCGAACGGGAUCAGUGUUAGAGGCGGAAGCAACGGUUGCGGCGGUGGCUAUCGAGGUAGCCAAGCGUCUCCCUCCCUCACCGAUCAUCCUCGAGUCAGAUUCAAAAGCAUUAGUGGACCAUAUCAACAAUUCAAAAUUUCCAUGUAAUUGUUGUAACUAUGAUUCGGAAUUCAAUUACCUCGAACCCAUGUCUGGCAUGGUUUUGAAUUUUAAGAAAAGCGAACUCUGCAGCUGAUUUGGUUGCCUCGCUAGUAGUGAGGAAGAAGUGCUCAGAGGUCUGGAUUGAUUGCCCGCCUUCUUCCCUUGUGUUUAUUCUUUCUCGUGAUGGUUUGCCAUGCCCUCUGCCUUCUAGCUGAGAAUUUGGGAGCCCUUGACUUAGCCGAGGUCCUGGUUUCUCUUUUUUUCAUCGGCGUCGGAUUCAUUUUCCUUUGCUUUGCUUGUUGUGCUUUUUCUUUGCUUCCAGUUUGUUGUUUCUCUUUUUCUCCAAGUUUCCUUGUCUUUGUUUUUCUGUUGGCUUUGACUAGGUAGCUUUUGCUUGGGCUUUGUUUCUUCUUGGCCUUAUUUGUAUAUUUAUAACUCUAGCCUUGGGCUUGUUUGUUGAAGUUUUCUUUGGACCAAAAAAAAAAACAACCGAAAGAAGAAAGGAAUGCAAUCCAAUGCAUGAAUUUGGAAAUCUCAAGAGUGGUAAUGGAACCUAGUAAAGUCUCUUCACUUGGUAUUUUAUCGAUAUAAUUAUGAAGCAGACAUGAAUUUCUCCGAGAUUUUGUGCAGAAAAAAGCUAAUGAGCUUUUGUUCAUUACAUUAGCAUUCCAAUGACCUUGUUUACAGAAAUGAUUAUGCACCUCGUUCAUCCAAGAAUGGGAAAAUGAUUGUGCUCAUUAAGAGGUACGCUAGUUCUGAAUAAUCUACUAUUUCUGAAUUUCCCAUGACUUGGAAAUUGUGUUCAGGCAGACUACAAAAAUUCUUUUAUGCAUCAAGAUGCAAGUGAACCGAUCAACUAAUUUGCAGUAUUUUGAUCCGACCAUCUAUGUCGCACUAUAUGCAUAUAUACUAAUACCGUUAACAAAAUUAAAACCCAAAAAAAUAGUCUCAAAUGUUUCUAAUCAAGGAGGUGAGAACACUAGGUCGAAAAAUAUGUACUCUUAUUAUGAGCAUUUAAUUUGAUCGAAUCAAAAAUGAAAUUGAAAUGAAUGAAUUUGGGGUCUCUAGUAUCCAUUCGAUCUUCUCAUUCGGCGAUUUAAGCAAUUAGAGAUUAAUGGUGUAAGUGCACCUUGGUGCGUAGAAUCUGCUCCCGACAGAUUAGAAAUUCAUGAAAUCUGACGAUGGACCUUGUUAAUUAUUUACAUACAUAUCCCAACGACAAUAAUUAACAAUUAAUCGAAAUUCUAGUUGAUCAAUGAUGAUUUCUUAUUCAAUUAUCAAGCAGCACUAAGGCCAUCUCCCAUCAUAGGUUAAAAAGCCAAAUUUAGCAUAUAGUUACUCCCUCCAUAAACCAAAUUACAAUUCUCAAGGCAAAAAAUUUAGCUUGAGCUUUUUUGUAAGCCAAAUUUGGCUUAUGGGGUUGGGUAGGCUAAAGCUAAAUAUUAUUUUAUUCAAUUUUAAAUAUUAUUCUUCUAAUUUACACUAAUUUACACUAGCAUCUAAAUUAAAAAUUUGUUACUAACAAAAUUUUAUACCAUUGCGACGAUCUCGACGAGAUUUUUCAUAUGACCCCCCAUAUCAAAUAUAUUUAUAUAAAUUUUUUUUCAUGGUUAAUUAUUGAAUUAAACAAAUAUAUAACAAAAGAAAAAAAAAUCUUUUUCCCUUAGGAUUUGGCUUACGGUGGGAGUGCUUCGUAAGCCAAAAUACUCUUAAUUUGGCCAAGGAUUUAGCUUACGGUGGGAGAAUUUGGUAAACGAAAAAAAGAUUUUAUAGAAUAUUCUUGUUUUGUAAAUUAAAUUUAGCUUAUGAUAGGAGAUGCUCUAAUAAUUAUACACAUUUCCAAUACUUAAAAGGGCACUUGCUAAAUUGGUCUUUGGUUCUUGAUUGCCCCUCUUGAUUAUGCAUGAACAAGAAGUUCUUUUAACAAAGAAUUCCAGCAGAAAUAAAAAUACUGACAGGACCCACCCCAAAUUUCACCCUGCAACCCGAGGUAAAUCCUGUGGGUCCACCUUCAAUGAAAAUUUACCAAAAAUUCGGCAUAACCUUCCUUAAAAAUGGACAACCCUUACCUGAAAAAUCCAAUUUAACACUUCUAUAACCAAACAUUCAUCCUCAACACCUGGAGCCUUCUUGCUCCCCAGGUUCAACACAUCUCCCAAUAUAACAAUUACUCAACUAAACUAAUCCCAUAACCAACAAUAACCAACAUUAAUUCACUAACUAAUUAUCAGAGCAUAUCUAGAGUUAAAUGAAAAACAAUAAAUAAAGAAUAAGCGGAAGCAGCCUCUGACUAUGCCUCGACUCCAUGUACGCUCGACCUCACUUAGACUGAGCCUGCAAUCUGGGCAUUUAAAACCAAAGGGCCAAGAGGAAAGUAACUUAAAAACGUUAGAGUGAGUGGACGAAAAAUAAACAUAGGAUAAGAAACCAAAACUUAAAUACUUUCCCACUUUCCAAUAUGCAAUAAAUCCGUUACAUGCAAGUGUUGACAAAUCCUUCAUAAAGAAAAUCCCAAGAAAACGGACUAGCCCCGCUAGUCGAAUUAACGACAAAGAUAAAAAAUAACCUUCGUAAAAGAAAGUACCAAAAUAUCGGACUAGCCCCGCUAGUCAAAAACAAUAAAUCUUAAAUAAGAAGUAGCUAUAGCCAUACAAAUGAGCCUCGCAGACUCGGUUGUCUCCCAGGCAAUAGUACUCCCAUACUCCCUACACCUUCAUGUUAUGAUAACAUAGAGGAUGUAGAGCUUACGUGAUGUCGUAAACUACAUCACAUCACCUGAAGGCGGAAAGGGCUUGAGUAACCCCACUUAAAACGUGGAAGUUACAUCGCCUCGAAAGGCGGAACAACAUGCUAGCAUGAAUAAUAACGAUCCAACAAGUAUGGCAUAAAUAAAGAAACAUAAAUCUAUGUGAGUUUCCCCGAAACUCAUAAUUAAAGCAUAAGUACGAUUCUCAACCGUACUCAAAGAAUUCAAAGAGCAAAGAAACUAAUUAAAUUCAAUAACGUGUCCCACACGUUAAAAUGCUCAAUGAAAUAAAUAACUUCAAUGAUUAUCAUCUUUCAAAAACCAGAUAAUAUGCAAAUCAGUAUGAAACCUCAAAUCCGGAAAUCAUAAAAAAAAACCAAACUCAAAUCUCAAAUUAUCAAUCCGAGCUCAAAUCCAUAAAUUAUGACCAACAUUUAAUCCAUGCAUCAAUCUCAAAUAAUUUCCAAGAUCAUUUCAUAUACCGAAGUUAUAAUAUAUACUCGGAAAAUAAAAUACUAAAUUAUAAACUCUUGCAUGCAUAUUAAUUAAAAACCAAAAUGUCCACUCACAGAUUUAGACCUAAGCCUGACGAAUUCCGAAUCACUACUCAAGCGAGGUUCCCUUCGUAUCCUGGCACAAUAAAUAUGUUUAGGACCAAACUUAAAUUCGGAAAAAUUAAACAUUUGAAAAUAAACACCCAAAUCUCUUCCGCUUAACCCACUACUCUAACUAGGGUUAAGCUCACCGGAUUUCCACCAAACUCCACCAUAAUCUUAAUUCCUCAAUUCUAACAUUUUAGAAUAAAUAUCAAGGAAAUCCAACGGCCGGAUUUAUCCUAACAACCGUCAUUCUCUCCAAUCUCCGAAAAAUUCCAAACCUAACCAAAACUCAUCCAAAAAUUCCAAACUAUACUUCAAUAAACUCCUCUUAUUAAAACCAUCUCAAAAAAGGAAAAACUGCCCUUAAGGGGCGGCGGCGCCGGUCGGCAGUCGUAUUCCGGCAAGGACCAAAGCUUCUCAAAUUUUAGCAGAAUAAUCCUCUUAUCAUGCACAACAACUUUCAUAACUAGCACUUAAUCCAAUUCUAAGGCUAACUAGGGUAAUCGAAUCAAAACAUCCAUAAAUCCCUAGAACUUCAAUUAUACAUUUCUCAUUAACAAGAUCGAAUUAGACCAAAUCUUUUUGAGGGGUUACUCACCUUGAUGAGAGCUACAAGAUGAGCCAAGUUUCAAGAGCUAUGGUGGCCGAAGGAGGGAGCUCCGGCGAAGGGACAGUCGGCAGUUCGGGCGGGAUUCCUCUCAAUCGGUGGCGUCCCACGCGCUGUCACCGGCCCAGAAUGAGAGAGGGAACAGCAGGGGUCCGAACGGAGGUGGUCCGGCGGUCUGCAGUGGCCAGACGGCGGUGGCAGACGGAGCUGAAGUCUCCGACGGGAGAGAGAGCUCGGGGGACUCGGGAGCUCGAGAGAGAAGGGAGGAAGAGAGAGAGAGAGUGAGAGUUGGGCUUUGACCCCCUCUUCACCCGGUCCAAACUUAAAACACCCAUAAAAUAAAGCCUAUUAGAAUUUACCUCCUUUUACCAAUAUAAUAACUUUCGUUUUUAGACCAUAACUUCUUCAUACGAACUCUGUUUUAAGCGUGCUGCGUGUCCACGAACUCCGUUUAACGUCCUCUACGACUUUCAUGAAGGAAGUUUUCCCAAAUUCCAAACGGAAGAAAAAGUCAACUUUUAGAGUCUUAAAUAAUAAACGGUUACUUAAAACGGUAAAAUGUCAAAGUAAUCCAAAAGUAAAUAACCGUAAAUUGACUUAACAAACCGGGAUGUGACAAAUACAAUACAUAGACUACUGGACCAAAGGAUAUACUAAUCAAAUCCAUUUUUCUAGAAUCACAAGUAACAAAUGGUUGGAUUCAAUUGGAUGAGUUAUUUUUUUUAGAGAAGAAUUGGAUGAGUUAUUGCUAUAUAGCGUUCUUCAUUUCUCAUGAUGAACAUCAUGUAUAUACAAAGACCACAUAAGAUCUGUAUGAUAAUGGUUGAUGAAUCACCUUCAUCUUCAUUCUAGAGGCUAGGAGUCGAGCAUUAUGGCUUUAAAGUAAUAGUUAUAUAGAACCCUAAACUUACAACGUGACUUCAUAAAUAAAUAUGAUAUUGAUACGAAAUGUAUUAGCUAAUCCAGAAUCUGGGUAUCGCCUGUAGCAAUCGGCUUGGGUUAAAUUUAGACAGAGAAUAUAAGGGGAUACAAGUAUAGAACCUGGAGAAUGACAUGCAUCCAGCGUAGUUGUAAUGUCCACUUAAAAAAGAUGAGUCUUUUCAACAGCCUAUUUAAUUCAAGUGCUGGAUAUAUUAGCUAGCGUAGCUAGUGAGAUUUGACUCUCUAUAAUUUAAUACAUUCUUUUUAAGUUAUUUAAUAUGAUAUAUAAAUACAUAUAAACUAUUUAAUCUUCAUUUAUAGAAUAAUAUUAAUUUAAUAUUAGCUAAAGUAAAGAGCAUUGAUGCAGACGUAUCUCAAAAGUCGCUAGCCAAAGUGACCUUUUUCAUUAAUUUGACUAAAAUUUAACUCAAAAAUGGUUAUCAUUGGUAAAAAUGCUCUUAAGAACAACUAGAUGUACCAGAUAAAAUAUAUAUAAAUCAGGGGGUUGUCCAGGGUAUUGAAAUGUAUAUCAUAAACUCAUUUAUCACUAACUGAACAAAAAUAACAAGUUAAAUAAGUAAAAUUUACAACAUUGAUAAAAAAAUUAAUACAUUUAUUUUACACAUUUACAUAUAAUUGUAUUUUGUUUUAAGUUGAGUAAUUACCUCUAAUAAAACAAAAAAUAUUCAUGUAAUGACAACAAAUUUGUUGUCAGUAAAUAUAGGUAUCAUAAACAGGUAGGUACCCUAGAAAAACAUAUUCAACUUGAUAUGAUUUGAGUUCCACAUUAAUCUAAACAUAAGGGUGUUGCAAGCAGAAACAUAAACCUUUAACUUAUGUUGGGUAGAGAUUUACAGAGGCGUUUAGUGUUGGAGUUGGCUCCAUCGUCUGAUUUCUGGUUAUCGGAUCGAUUACACGGAUUUUAAAUUAUGCAUCUACUGUAAUGUAAUCUUCAGGUUUAAUUUCCUUUAACAUAUAUACUAGCAACUAGCAUGCUGUGUAUUUUUUUUUUUGUUUUUUGAGAGAACUAGGUGAUAUGAAGUUCCAUAAAGUCAUAAACUGAAAUACAAGAACAUUAAUUGAGGUGUAGGGUUUUGGCAUUAUGGGCCCAGGCCCAAACAUAGGAUCAAACCCCUGUUAAAUUUUGCCUAGGUUUAAUUUAAUCCUUGUUGGGCUAAUACCAAACAUCGUCCAACGGGAAUGGACUGUGGAGUUUCAUCGAAAACCAAGAAAUUGGUGAGCCAUUUUUUGAAAUUGCAGCAGUUGAUUUAUCAGAAACAAGUCCAGAUUCCACUACUGAAGUUCAUUGUCGUAUGAUUACUUCUAGAAAAUGCAGAAGAUAAACGACGACUUUGGACCUAACAGAAUUCAAUUCCAAAUUGCUUUGGUGUUUCUGCAACAAAUGUAUAAUUGACAAGCACUUGGUCCAAAUCUCCUAGCAGACUGCAUACUCAUAAUGCAUGUCUAUUUUAUUUAUCCAGAAUUGUCUUCAUGUAUAAUUCCAUACGAUCGCACAACUAGUGCGACCGCUGCAGCAACUGUUUCAAAGUGCAAGCACAUGAUCGAGCUCUAUAUAGCCUGUGUAAUACCCCCAUGAAAGAAAUUUACAAUACAUAUUCUUGGUAAACUAAUAUCAAGAAAGUUCUACCAUGCUCUAAACUUGUCGACUUAUGUACAAGUAUAAUUAUAAUUACUUGUCAGUUCUCAGUUCUCAGUUCUCACACAACUCUAAUAAGUGGUGUAGCCAGAAUUUUUGUUUACGAGAGUCAAAACCCAAAUGACUAUUAGAUUAAACAACAGAUUUUUAAACAAUACCUUGAAAACUUGAUAUUCGAUUAAAUCAUUCUGAAAUGAUCAAAAUUAUAACGAAUAGCUUCAGGGUUUUUCUUUAACAAAUAAUGUAAAUAAAGUAAUAAAAAAAUUAGAUUAUAAGUUUAUAACUAAACCUAAUGUUUACCAUUCUCAUACACCUAUAUCUUAUCACUUAUUAUGAUUAAUAAAGGGAAAAUGCCUUAAUGCCCAAAUAUUUAAAAUCUAAAGUCCAUUCAAAUUAAAAUCUUAUCCCUUAACUCAUUCAAAUGAUUCUUACCAAAAAAACGAUACUACCCAUCAUUAAACUACACCUAACCAGAAGCUCACAUCUUUCUUCCAUCGUCAUGUCCUUCAUAACAACCUCUCUCUCUCUNNNNNNNNNNNNNNNNNNNNCUCUCUCUCUCUCUCUCUCUCUCUCUCUCUCUCUCUCUCUCUCUCUCUCUCUCUCAGAUCCUUCAUCGGCGACCUCAUCCUCGCCUCCACCAUCUCCGGCGACCUCUUCGGUGCUCGCCUCUCUCAAAGAAGCACGACGGAGAGUCCUCGCCUCCACCAUCUCUCUCUAUCUCUCUCUCUAACUCUCACUUACAGAUCCGUCGCCGGCGGUCUCAUCCGGGCCUCCACCAUCUCUGGCGACCUCAUCCUCGCCUCCGCUUAUUGCCCCGGCCUCCUCCUCACCUGUCACUACAACACUACAAGUCCGAAGACCAGCGUCAAAUCCAAAUCAUGCACCACUAUGGUCUCCGAUUAGAGGUGGUCGUCCUAGCUUGACCGCACAUCGUCUUCGCCUCCGCCUUUGGUUUCGAACUCCUACGUCGACGCCAUCAAGAGCUAGUGUUGUGUAAUGGAGAUUGUUUUCUCAAGGGUAAUAAAGUUCUACUGGGGAUAAUAAUGUUCUACUAGGGGUGAUAAAUUUAUUACCCCCAAUAAUAAAUUUAUAACUAGUCCUUUAAUCUAUUUUUUCUUAGGGUUAUUAUUCUUCUAUCGUAUUCGUUUUUUUGUGUUUUAACUAAUUAGUAGGGGUCAGUAACUAAUUACUUAGGGUCAGUAAUUGAUUACAAGGGUCAUUAAUUGAUUACUGGAGGUCAGUAGCUCGAUUAUUGAGAAAAUCCGACGACCGGUGACCAAAUUCCGGUGAUUAACUCAAUUACUGGGGCUCAGUAACUGGUUAUUGGGGGUCAGUAACUGGUUACUAGGUGUCAGUAACUGGUCAGUACUGGGUGUCAGUAACUGGUUACUGGGGGUCAUUAACUGGUUACUGGGGGUCAUUAACUGGUUACUGGGGGUCAGUAACUAGUCACUGGGGAAAUUCCGGUGACCAGAGUCCGGCUGUUAGGGAAAUUCCGGUGACCAGAGUCCGGAGGUCGGGAAAAUUCCGGUGACCGGAGUUCGGUGAGAUUCCGGCCAAGUAUUCUCUCUUCCAUUUUCUCUCUCUAUGCAUGUUUAAGGGGUGAUGGCAAAAUAGUCUUAAAAUAAUAUGAUUUGUUAAGACUUUAAUAAAGAUUUGUGCAUUUGGACAAAAAAAAAGUUACAUUAUAUUGAAAUUGGCUAAUGAAAAAGAUUGUCAUUAGAAUAUGGAAUGAGGGGUUUAAAUUAGUAUUAAAUAGAUUAAUAAUUCAUUGGCUAAUUGAUUGGAUUUACCGCAAAAUAUGCUACUGAAGACUGAUAUCAUAGGUUAGAUGGUUAGUUCAUUAUCCACUAAUCUAUUUAUACAAUAACUUGUUUUGGUUGAAUUCUAGGUGACACAAAGAACAAGAGGAAUAAGAAUCCAAAUAGAAAGAAAUAUGGAAAGUUAAUUAAUUGUUGAGCUUUGGCCAUGAGUCUUUGUUUCUUUACAGAUCGAAGAGUAAGUUAUUAUGCUAGUAUCACCAUAUGUCUCACAAACAACCAAAUAAUUCAACCAGUCAUUGCCAUUUCAUAGAAGUGAGAAGGGUCGCUCGACUCUUCUCGUCCUAGUGCAGCUACGCAUCUGACUCCAAUGAAUGAAAAAUAGGAGCAUUUCAUACUAAAGUCUCACUAUAUCACAUGCUUUGGAGUAUAUAACAAUUAGAGGUGUAGGAUCUAAACCAAAUUAAGUUACUGUAUGAUCAUUUUUACUUGGAAUUCGAAUUGAAUAUUGGAUUUAAUUUUAAAACUCUAAUAAAAAAACUAGAUGUUAGUACCGUUUGGUCUAGUGACACAAGUCUCUUCUUCUAAAUGAGAGGCUGUGAGCUUGACUCACAAUAGAUACGUUGUAGCUGUUUGUUGAUCCCAAAAAAAUAAAAUAGACAAUUAGAGAAAAUUAUUGAGUUUUCUCUUAUUUCUCAUUGAGGAUGUGAAAAUUAGAAAAGAAUUGAAAUUUGUUUAGUCCUUGUGGUUUGAAAUCGACAUCUGUUUAGUCUUUAUGGUUUUAUCUUAAUCUGAAUAGUCCUUAAAGUCACCAUUUUUCAUCCAAAUAGUCAUUCCGUCAAUUUUCUCAGUUAAUCUGAACAGAUGUCGGCUUCAAACCACAAUGACUAUACAGUAUUUUACCAAAAACUAAACAAAUGUCUACUUCAAACCAUAAGGACUAAACAAAUAUCGACUUAAAAAUAUAAUUAUUAAAGUUGGAAAUCUAUUAUAUGUUCUUCCAAAAAAAAAUUUGCCAAAGACAUAUAUUUGGACCAUGUGGGUUAUUAUGAGUUAUAACUAGUAGAGAUUGAUCAAAUGAUGCAUGCUAAUAUGUGAGUCGUUAGCUUUUUUAUCAAAUUUAAUGAUUCAUAUUAUGUGAAGCGUGUUUGCAUCAUAAGAAAAUUCUUUGAUAUUGUCAGCAGUGUGUGCGGAUAUUGGAGCUAACUUAGACAUACAUGAGGGAUUUGGGCCGCGUGGGCUGUUUUCUCUCAAAAUUUGGUUCAACCUAUCGAAUAUGCAUGAUUUUAGAUUGCUAGAAUUAUUAUUCAUCAAUAUUUUCUUGUGUUGAGUUUGUAUGUGCAUGAUGUUGUUCAAUUGUAUAAAUGGACAGUGAUUUCGUUUUCCUUUAAGUUUAAAACAGUAAGACAUAUAUAAUCCACAAUUCCACAUCUCAAAAUCCCCCUUCAAACUUGUGUAAAUUUGUACAAAGUUCGUGCAGGGUUGAAAAUAGCAUUCCAAUCCCAAAUGUAAAUAAGUCUUUUUGUUUGUAUAUAUGUGAUAUUAGUAACUGUUAUAUUUAUCUAACGCAUUCUUUUGCAGAGGUAUCCUAAAUCCCAACCUUGAACGAUACCCUACUAUUGCUAUACUAUAGUUACAUGGUGUUGAGGCCUAAAAUUCCACAUAGCGGGCCCAAUUCAUUUACCAAGCACAAUUCACAAUUUAAGAUGAGUUCUACUCGCAAACAUCAUGCUAUGCACUUGGACCUAAGCCACAAUCAUGCAUGUAGGGCUUUCAAGAAUGGGUGUGGCGUGGAAGGUAAUAGAAAAGCAAGAGGUCCGCUAUUACUUUUAAGAUCGUUGGUAAUCUCGGGAUCUUAGGACCGAAAUUCAUGUCUAACGACUUAACAUCUAAUACGGAUAAAUGAAGAAGAUGAGCCAAAAGUCAAGCCUAAACCCUUUAAAAUCCGCGUUAACAUAGAAUUCUUAAUCCCAGCCACAAAAUAAAACAUUUUUCUAGCCACACAUUCCCCAACUAGAACAUAUUCACGCAAAAAGCAACCCAACAACAGAUUUUCCUGCAGAAAAUAUGCCAAAGCCUAUCCCACAAUCACACAUUUCAAAGCCAACUUUAGACAUAGCCUAACAAUACAAAAUACAUUACAAUCUAUAAUACAUGCUUUUAACCAAGUGAGAGUCUUUUACCCAUCAGUAGAAAUCUUUAUCCAAGAUUCCCCCAGCUUCUUGAAUUGCUUAUAAAUAGUUAUUGUUAUCAACCAUAGGAAACCAUAACGGAGUGUGCUAGCAAGCUCUCUAGCACUCUUCUUCUCCCAUGUUUCCUUUCUCCCAAAUUCUUCCUUAGUCUUUCAUCCAUCCCAAUUCAUCUUCUGUCUAAACCCUUUCUCUCAUAUAUCUCAACCCAUAUGCAAGCUGUCAGGAUCUCUUCUUCUAAAACUCAUGUUUUUCUAUCUUCCAUGCCAUGCACAUCUUGUUAAGCCCUUUUAUUGAAAGAAACACAGAUUCAUUCGAUUGUCGUUAAUAUGCAUGGAGUUGUUGGGAAGAACACAACAUCAAGCUUUUCCUAGGAUUCUAAGUCCUUCGAAGCUUUCUGAGCCUAGUUUCCGCUAACUCAAACAAAAGGGACAGAUGGCUCGGCCAUGCUUGUCUCACUACCAUACACCCUUAAUCAAAAGCACCCUCAACACAUGGUUUUUAAUUGAAGGCCAAAAUUGACAUGACCUAAACCGGCUAGCGUUCAACUAAAACCCCUGCAAAUGUAGUAGCGAUAGUAAGAUAUCGUUCAAGGCCGGGGAUUGAGGGUACCAUACAUACAAACAAAAAAACUUAUUUACACUCAAGAUAUAUUGGAAUGCUAUUUCAAUCCUGCACGAACUUUGUACAAAUUUACACGAGUUUAAAAGGGGAUUUUCAGAUGUUGAAUAUGUUUUACUGUUCUAAACUUAAAGGAAAAUGAAAUCACUUUCCAUUUAUACAAUUGAACAACCUCAUGCACACACAAACUCAAUGCACACACAAACUCAACUCAAGAAAAUAUCGAUUAAUAAUAAUUCUAGCAACCUAAAAUCAUGCAAAUUAGAUAGGUUGAAACAAAUUUUGAGAGAAAACAGCUCACGCGGCCCAAAUCCCUCAUGUACGUCUAAGUUAUCUCCAAUAUCCGGACACGCUGCUGACAAUAUCAAAGAAAUUCAUAUGAUGCAAACACGCUUCACAUAAUAUGAAUCAUUAAGUUUGAUGACAAAUUCGAACAUACUAACAUAUAAAUCUGCAUACGCUGCUGACGACUUACACAUUAGCAUGCAUCCUAUGAUUAAUAUCUACCAAUUUUAACUCAUAAUAACCUACGCGGUUCAAAUACAAGUCUUGGCACAGUUUUAUGAAGAACAAAUCAUAGAAAUUCCAACUUCAUACAAGCUUGAUCAAGAUAACUAAAAUAUCAUUCAAUCGAACAAUUAUAUGAAGGACACGAAUAGAAAAACAUGAACUGAAACAAACUAAAAACAAAUUACAGACAGAAAAAUAUACUAAGAUUAACAAAGAAGAAAGUUAAAGUUUAUACCUUUUGUUCUUCAACACGUGUGAAGCACGCUAAGACAACUACGAGAUUACUAGGAGAACUAAAAUGGCUAAACUAUGCUAAUCUAGGGUUUAUGGUAGACGAAGAGGGACGGCAUGACUCGCAUGAGAGCAAAUUUUCUGAGUGUGUAUGUGUCAAAAGGUGGUGAGAAAUAGGGCUGUAACUUGAAAACCGAUAACCGAAAAAUAACCACAUCAAAGCUGAACCAUAACCGAAAAAAACCGAGGAAAAAAAACCGCACCAAACAGCAAAUAUAACCGAAAACCGAAAGGUUUGCUGUGGUAACUAUGGUUUUGGUUUCGGAUGUCUGGAAACCGAAACCGAACCAAAAAACCGAUUAUAUAUAUUGUAAGGAAAUUAUAUUAUUUAUAGAUAUAUAUUAUUAAUAUACAUAAAAUUUUAUGUAGAAACUUGAGCUUAAAUGAAGCCCAAAAAAAAAAGGAUGGCCUUUCUAGUUUUUCAUUGCUUUUUUUUUUUCUUUCGAAAACUGUUAUGUGGCAUUGUGGGUUGCCCUUUUUUCAUUUUUUUUUUUCUUUUCUUUUUCUUUUUCGGAAACGGUUAUGUAAUAUGAGACAUAUCUACUUUCUACUUUUCUAGACUUGGUUUCUUUAUAGAAUAACCGAAAAAACCCGAUAUAAACAAAAAAAACCAAACUGAACACAAUUGGUUUAUGAAAAAAUAAGUGAAAAACCAAACCGAACAAACUGAACAAACCGAAAAAAUAGAUCGGUUUGGUGUUCGGUGUCACCUAUUAACCGCACCAUUCAAACUGAUUAACAGCCCUAGUGAGAAAUCUUGUGGAGAGAUGCCUCUAUAGGAGAAAAUUACUCCUUUUUGAUGUCGAUCUUGACCCUUGAGUUGAGGAGGUGGAAUUUGAUCGAAUGGUUGAGAUAAGAGCCUGCAAAUCUUCAUUAUUUUCGUGCUUCAUAGGUCUCAUAAAAACAUUUUUAAUACUCUCUAAAAUGGCUCCUUAGCCAUGAGUCAUUUUAGAGAGCGAGUUUAGUUUUUUAUUAAUUUUAUCAGCUUCAGCAAACUAGCAAGUGGCUAUGUAUUUUAACUUUUAGCUAUUUAACUAGCAAGAUGAGGCUCUCUAUAAUUUAUGUUAAUUAAAUGUAUUUAUUUUAAGUCAUUUUAUGUAAUAUUAAAACACAUUUAAAUUAAUUUUUCUUUAUUUAAUCAAUAAUAUAAAUCAAACUUGAGUUGAAACAAAAAGUACUGGUGUAGAGGUAUUUCUAAAGUGACUGAAAAAUGGCUAGCAUUACUAAAAUGACUGCAAAAUGGCUAGCAUUGUUAAAGAUGCUUUAACGAUCGCUACCAUGAAAUUCUCCUUGAAUUAGUAGAGAAUGCACAUUCCUUUUCCAAAUUGCUUUCCUUAGCCAAUUUGGCUUUGAACUCCAAUGUGAUUUUCCACGAAUUUAAUGCUAAAAAACCAUCAAAUAUUGACCUUCAAACUCUUGCAAAAUCCCUCCAAAAUGUCCAUGAAAUCAUCACCUAUAAUCAGCCCCAAAACCAAAUUCAUAUGAUCUUUGACGAGAAUUCCAACUUUCUUCUAAUUUUCUUCCAACUUUGAGCAACUAUAACUUCGUCAUUACUCCACCUUUCUGGACGAUUCUUGAUUCUAAAAUUAAGUACUCAUUUUUUAUCUACAGUGUUCAUGACGAAACUUUCCAGAGAAGAUGUCCUAUUGAUACCGGAAAAAGGCUCCAAGCGUUCUCUUUUAUUAAGUUUGCCGGAUUUCCAGUUUCAUAAUUUAAACUUCCCAUCACCUUUUUGAAUGAUUCUUGACAUUAGAAUGAAGUAAAAAACUUGUACUACAACUAUGAACUCGAUCCCUGACCGUAAGGAAUACAGGCAAGUCUUUGAAUUCUUCAUUAAAAAAGCAAUCCAGUAAGCUGUUGAAAACUUGUUUCUCGAAGGCUGUUUUGCAAGCAACUUUUUCUCGACUUCUCUUGAGCUUUUUGAGCAGUAGAAUUAUCAUUCUCCAUCUUCGACAACAUUACUUCAUAUUUGAGGCCUUAAUUGCCCGGUUUUAGCUAUCUUUCCUCCAUAAUCGCUCCACAAAGUGACUAAGAAAUAAGCCAAGUUAAAUAGACAUUUUUAAGGAAUAAACUAUGCAAAGUAUAAAGGCUGAACUAUAAAUAUGUCGCAUAUUAUGCUCCUAUCAGUUAACAUAAUUAUAAAAAAUAAAUAAAUAAAUAAAAACUUGUUUCAACUUUCAACCAUCGGAUAUCUUAUGAAUCAAUACAUUUGAUGCCUCCUCAUUUAAUCAAAGAAAGUACUAAAGAGUUUAUGAUAUUGAUAUUGACUUUGAUCUUGAAGGAUGAUGGGUGAGUGGUAGGCAAUGUAGGUGCACGAUGGUGGUGGGACUCUAAUCCCAACGGCGUGUUAGAGUGAUCAAUAGGGGGACUUGGAGCCUACGUUGCAUGGAAUCGGAAGCGGAAGCGUUUAGAAAUGCGGAAACGUUUGGAAAUCCGGAAACGUUUUUUCUAAGAAAUAUCUAGAAGCGUCGAAAUAAAACAAUAUAUAUAUAUAUUUACACUUUCGAUUGAAUAUCAAAAUAGAGUAAAAAAAUUUCAGAAAUUUUAAGAGUGAGGCUUGAUAAAAGACGUGUAGUACACAGACUCUAAGCUUUUAAUGGAGUAAAAAGAUAAAUGUUAAAACUUCUCUCAAGUAAAAUAUAAAGAAAAACAUAGAAGAUGCUAUAUUAUGAAGGCCUCAAAACUCAAAAGGGUGUAUAUAUCAUGAUAACAAGGGGAAAAAAAGGUGUAUAUAUCAGCCGCAAUUAAUCCAUUUUUCUCUCGGCAAAGAGCCGCACACAUCUACAGUUCUACACCAUCUUUCCUAUUCUCUCAAGGAGAACCCUCCCUGCCUCGCAGACCACCUUUCCAAUUAUACUCAUUCUCUCCCUUCCUCACACACCCAAUCAAUAAUUCAUUGUUUCCCUUCCCUACUUCUCAUACCCAGAAGGUUUUUUUUAUUGUCAAGGAGGGUUAAGAAGAAUUGGGAUUGUGAUCAAGAAUCAAGAAUUGUAAUCACGACGAAGAUUUAUUUUUAUCGUCAAAAGUUGUUUCUUCAAACCCAGAUCAAGAAUCAAAAACCCAGAUCAAGAAACCCUCCAACAAAAUUCAAUCGUCUGUCACUGCCGCUUCCAAGCUUAACCACCGCGCUUCCUGUUUGGAAUUACGCGCUCCCACGGCAAUCCAAAACUACUUUUCUCGGAAUCUCGCUUCCGCGCGCUUCCGAGCGCUUCCGGUUCUGCUUCCCCUUCGGAAGCGCGAAACACGGGUGUCUAGCCGCUUCCGUGCUUCCUAGCUUGGAGCACAGCGGGAUUGCAACCUUGGCUUCUUGGCCUAGAUAAUACCAAUAUGGUUUUGGCCUCAUGAUCCUUGUGCCUAGGCCUGGGUCUUGAUUUAGGAUUGGAUAAUUGACCCACAUGAGGUAUCUAUUUUAAUUUUAAUGUGUAUUUUAGUUUUAAGUUAUCUAGGAAUCAAUAUUUAUGGACCCAUGGCACUCUUGUGGUAUACCACUUUUAUCCAUAUGUGAAUAAUACUCACUUAGUCUAAAACGAGAUUAUUAAUGCAUUGAUCCAUGGAGAUCUAAUGGACAGAAGAGAGAGGGGAUAUAGGCAAUGAGACACACGAUUUAUAAUGGUUCAUCUUCCUUCUUUUGGGUAGACUACAUCUACUAACUUGUAUUAUGGACUGCAGCCUUUGUGGUCUCAUAAUGUUACAAGUAAUUGUAAUGGGUGUUGAUUGAGUGGGAAAUAGUCUUCCUUUACAUUGUCUUCAAUGUGGGACAAAGAGUCACAGUCCUAGUCUUCAAAGUAUGUUUAUAUAGACUACUUGUAUAUUUUGUCUACCAGCUUUCCUUAUGGUUUGUACAAGAGAUGAGAAUACUAUAUUCUCUUUUUUUAGUUUCUGUAUCGUUUUGUUUCUUUUUUGAACUAUGUAAUUUUUCUUUUUUAUUUAAUAUAAAAUCCAGGCGUGAGACGGAGCCUCCCAGCUAGGCUGGGUUCCAAAACCCUUUAAAAAAAAAAGAAAAAAAAACAUGUUUGUGGAGGCAUAUUGAUGAUGUAUGUCGGGCUACUAUGGCUCAUGGGGCCACAAAGUUGGUAAUUUUUAUACUCGGGGGCAUAGCAUAUUAGCCAUGCUAAGUGGUGGCAUCUAUGUCACACCCCAGACCCGGUAUCGGUGGUUUCUAAGCACUUAAUACCAAAUCUGAUGCGUGAGCUGAAAAAGUGAAAGAAAAUUAUACAAAUUCAAAUACUUUUCCAGAAAUUAUUAAAAACAAAAUAAAUUGUAAUAACAAAAACAAUUACAAAGACGAAACAAAUAGGUCUGGCGGUCUAUCUCACUUCUAGUCUUCUAUAAUCCUUUCCAAAUUUAGUACACGUCAGCUAACGUCAUAAUUAGUCUUCUAGAAAAACGUGGCAUACCUCGUAUACAUCUGAACAAAACUCAUAGGAGUGAGCUUACGCUCAGUAGGGCAGAACCUCUUAUCUAAGUCGCAAAAUCAAGUAAUCAAACAAUGUCAUAUAUAACAUGGAGAAACAUGAGGAAACUCAAUUACACAAAAUGUAUUUAUUCUAUCAAUCUCUUUCUCAUCUCUCCAUAAUCACCAAUCUCACUAAUCUCACAAUUCCUCACAAUGCAUUAUGCAUGUCAAUGAAUAUUAAUACUCGCAUUUCAAGAUCGAACACAUGCUUUUAUAGAAAGCGAUAACAUCAAUCAUAUAAAUCAACGAUUACAUAUGCUUUAUCGAAAAUGAUAACAAUUAACAAUUAACCAAUCAAUGCCAUAUAAAACACUCAUUUCAAUUAUAAUCUAAUUAUCAAUUUAAGAAAGGUUCUCCGAGAAAAACCAUACCUGGAAUCCGAGUCUUGACUCCGAUGCUAACUAAAAUUAGUAUCACCACGACUUGCUUUCUGAAAUCUUCAUCCUUCUGCUUCUGGAAUGUCGAUAGUUACUUGAUCCUCGCACAAAUCCUUUUUCUUGUCUCAUGAUUUCCGAAUCAAAUGUCAUGCGCGCUCAUAUCACUUUCAUCGUCACCUUCCAAUUCAAACUCGAAAUCUGCUUUGGACACCCAACAUACCAUACAGCCAUAAUGUAUCCAUACUUUUAGCCUUAUAAUCUUUGCCUACAUUUCUAAUGCAACUUCAUCACCAUCCAAUUCAGCGAGUUACCAUCUUUUCCACCGAAACACAAACACCACUAGUUCAAAAUCAUCUCGCUAGCUUAACACACAAGUUCAAAUCCAUAAAACACAACUCAACCUCGUAUCACCAAACUCUUCAUUUUUCUGGAAUUGAAACAUCAUGAGUGUAACUAAAGAAUGAUCACCGGCCAACUAAACGAUUAAUACCAAACUUCCAAUUGUAAACUCAAGAAUAUAAAGCAUCUAUAUGGUUCUUCUUUCACUACAAACAACAAAGGACCAAUUCUUGCCUUCCGUCCCAAAUCCAUUCUUCUCAGUAAUUCAAGAACUUGAAGUCGAUAAUUCAAGCCAAUAAACUAACCAAAGCCAGAAAGCAAUUCAAACACUCUGCCAAAAUCUCAACAUCUUCCAACCUUAACCAAAAUCGAAUUCAAUUAUACAGAGAGGAAGAGCUCGACGAGUAGAUCAAGUUCCAUACCUCACUUGCCUUCGACAGUGGCCGGAAAACACAGAAACUCGCCGGAAAACUACUUAAGCUUCAAUUAAUCGAUUCUCACUCAUGAAGGCUCCUCUGAAGAAAUCGAGACCACAGAUAGAACAAGAAUGGCGAGACGAAGCUACCAAUACUGGUCAUGCUCGCCGCCGUCACCGGAAUCAGAAACUCACCGGCGAUCCAGCCUCUUCUUCUCUCCUUCGAUUCUCUCUCACCGAAGCUUCCCAUGGAGAAACAACAUCACAGCCACGUUGGGGACGACGAUACGAAGCCGUAGCCACCGGUUGGACGCCGAGAGGCGGCCGAACGACGGAGGAGCGAUCGGAGGUAUCCGCCGCUGCAGUACGACUCGAGACCGAGUCGGUCUGCACUCUGUUCUUCUGUUCUACCACCUUAUCUAUUCCCAAAUAUAAUCUCAAAUAAACGAUCAAGAUCAAGAUCUUGCGGUUUUAACUCCAACGGUCCAUAUCAAAUGCUUUUAUUUUCUAUUGUUAAAUAAAUUUUUGGAUAAUAUCAACAUCCAAAAAUUAUUAAAAAUAGUUUGAUGUUAAAAUGAUGCUUCGAAAAAAUCAUACAAACUCGUAACAAUGUCUAGUUUAAUCUUAUGGGCUCAAAAAACAAAAAUUGACAAACUAAAAAUUUAAAUAAUUUUCGAAAACCACAAAGAAAAUAAAAAAUAAUAUAAAUUGAAAUAAAAAUAACUCAAAAAAUAAUUUUCUUUUUAAAAAUAGAAAUAUGAAAUUUAAAAAUAGAAAUAUGAAAUUCCGGGAUGUUACAAUCUACAUGGAGGACUUUUUUUUUUUCAAAAUUGUUUUUCUAUUAAAUAACUCAUGCCCCCUUAGAUAUAUUAGUGAAUUUUGAACUUGUGACCUCAACGUUAUCAGUUAAGUCACAUAACCAACCAAACCAUGGCUCAUUGACAUCCAUAUAGAAGACUUGUUUCCUCACAACAAUGUCAAACAAUCCCAUUUUUUUAGAUUCUUGGACACCCAACACGAGAAAAACCUAUCAAUUACCAUUGUAGACCUUCAUGAGAGGUCAGGGCUAGAGCUAAUAUAUGUCUAAGGAAUCAUUUGACUCAGGGCCAGGAGGCUGAAGUUUUGUUAUUUGUAACUUUUAUUCGAAAGUGUAGAGUGUGUAAAGGAGCAGGGCUAGACCUCCAGACGAGGCUUGGCUUUGUUGAGUCGGUGACGAGGCGGCGUCGGCGGAGCAGCAGCAGGGAGUGGGAGUCUUUUCCCCGAAGAAAGUGGGAAACCCUAACUCAAAAUUAGGGGUGCAAAAGUGGGUCUGGAUCUGGAUCUGGGGGUGGGCCUGGAUCUAGGGUUGAAGUGGGCCGUGCAAACUUGAAUCUGGGGGUGUGAAAGUGGGCCUGGAAGUUAGGUUUGGAGAUGGGUUGACUGGGCUGGAGGCAGUUCAACAAAAGGAGGCCUGCUCCUCUUGCCUUAUCUGCUACUCCUCCUUCUGUGGGAUUACAACGCAAGCGGGCUAUUGGGGCUAUGGAAGAUGGCAACCGUCAUAAAUCAAGCUUGGCUUUAAUACCGCUGGAGUCGAUUGGUGAGGGGUUCGUGGAGGUUCUGAUUGCCAUUGGAGAGGUCCCCAAGAAGAGGAGACAUCUUCGUGGUCACCGAAAUAAACCAAACCCAAACCCAACUUCAAAGGCUGUUUUGAAGUAGUUCCAUUCUCAAAAUGGGACAGAUCCCUACAUCAUCAAUUUGAAGAUUCUACCCCCAUUUUUGUUAGAAGGUACACCAAAAUGGUCUCUAGGCCUCAAUGCAUUAAGCUGGGGUACUCUAUAUUAACGAUGUAGGUUAUUUGCUUUCUUGGUUUUAAUAAGUUCACUUGAACAUUAGAUUUUUCAGGUUCGCCUUGUAGUUUUUUUUCGUUUUGCAGCCUUAAACUGAGCAACGCAUUGUAUAUGAAGUGGUCUAUGGACUUUGUCCUAGCUUGACCUUGUACAGUCGUAUGAUUGAAAUGAACGGAGGUUGACUCCAUUUUUCCUAAAAAGAACAGUGUAGAGCGUGUGUCUAUGCUCAACAUCGAUUCAUGUGGUCAUCCUCAAGAGCCAUAAUACUUUAAUAACCAAAAGUCUAAAGUAGUCACUCUAUUAAUAAUUAUGUCACCAGAAUACCAGAUGAUUAAUUAAUUUCAUAAACGAUGCUCUCCUCUCUCUUAGGUUUUGAGCGAACGCUGCCGCCCACCAUUGAGCAUGGCAACUCCUUCCUCCAUUCUCAAUGGAGCAAAAUUUCGGCAUCGGCUCUGGUGCCGCAACAUUCGAGCAUGGAUACAUCCCUCUCACUUCUCUCUCUUUUUAGAAGUCUGAAAACCGACAUCUUACCCAAGCCAGUCCUGGGUCCAACAUUUUGGACUACCUUUGCUCUCUGGUCUCUUUAGCUGAGGCCUAGGGAAGGAAACCCAGAGAAGGUUUUGGUGUUGAACGGUCCAUGUUGGCCUGCAACGGUCAUGAGAAAAGACCGGCUUGCUAGUGGUCGCUCUGAAGAGCAAUAAUCCAAAUUUGCUGCUUUCGAUCAGCAUGGUGGUGUCACUGGUGAUGAUGGUGGUGACGGCGAGCCUAGUGAAGGUGAAUCUGGUGAUUGGAAACCUGGGGUUUCUUCUCUCCUUCUCCUUCAUAUAGUAGAUGUGGGUGAUGGCUCUUCUGCAUGGAGUCAUGGUUCUUCAUUGAGUGGUGGCGUAAUAGGGAUCUGGGACCCUAGCUAAAACUAAGAACAGAAAUGCAAAAGAAAAUCAAAGCAAAACUAGUCUUUUUCAUUCCUCCGGCUACUCUCUUACAAAGGCUAUUUAUACCCAGAAUGGACAUUCUAGAUCUUGCCACUUGGCCAACAUCUAACUAGUUUGGAGCAAAAUCCUAAUACAAAUUAAUUAACUAAAUUAGCUAGCUAAUGAGCACGUGUGGCUCACAUGUGGAAACAUCCACUUCUUUUGAUCUUGCUGGGAAGAUCAUAACAUUGCACCCUGCUGCACAUGAAACUUGUCCUUAAGUUUCUGAAUCAAAGUCUGGAAACCGCAUUUGGAUUUCAUCAGCAAACUCCCAAGUGGCUUCCUCAGUAGCUGUACCAAGCCAGUGAAUCAACCAUUAAGUUGCUGCAGCCCAUUUCUUUUCACUAUGCGCCUUUAUAACACAGCAGCUGGUGCCCACUUGUAGCUGGAAGUAUCACUGAUAGGGGGUAACUGAGUUGCUACUGAAUCCUGAUCCCCAAUCUUCUUCUUCAAUAGAGACACAUGGAAAACAUUGUGUAUUUUGGAAGUUGGAGGGAGCUUCAGCCGGUAGGCAACCUCCCCAAUUUUUUCAAGCACCUCCUAAGGUCCAAAAUACCUAGCUGAUAGCCUGUUGAAGGCUCGCUUGUGGACAGACUGUUGCUUAUAUGGCUGUAAUUUGAGAAACACCAUAUCACCAUCUGCAAAUGAUCUCUCAGUGUGCCUCUUAUCAUGAAAAUUCUUCAUUCUCUCCUGAGCUCUUCCCAAGUUUCUCUUCAAUACUGCCAGCAGCUCCUCCCUACUUCUAAGCUGUUGAUCAACUUCAGCAACCGAUGUGGAUCCUGGAGCAUAAGGUUUGAUAGAAGGUGGUGCCACACCAUAGAGUGCUUCAUAGGGGGACAUCUAUAUGGCUGAAUGGAAAGCAGUAUUAUACCACCAUUCUGCCCAGGGCAAAACUUGCACCCACUGCUGAGGUUUCUCCCCAAUGACACACCUCAGAUAUUGCUCCACAGUCCUAUUCAAAUUCUCAGUCUGUCCAUCUGAUUGUGGAUGAUAAGCAGAAGAUUUACUAAGCUUGGUUCCCUGCAGUUUAAAAUUUUUUUUCCCAAAACAAGCUCAUGAAAAUAGGGUCUCUGUUAGAGAUAAUGUUCUCAGGCAUGCCAUGAAGUUUAAACACCUCCUUCACAAAAAUCUUGGCCAAAGUUGCAGCAGUGUAUGGAUGUGCUAGAGGAAUAAAAUGAGCAUAUUUGGUUAGCUUGCAUAUAACUACCCAAAUAACUGAUUUUCCCUCAGAAUUAGGCAAACCCUCAAUGAAGUCCAUUGAAAUGACACUCCAUGCUCUCUCAGGGAUAGCCAACGGUUGUAACAAACCUGGGGGUAAGAUGGUCUCAUAAUGAUUUCUCUGGCACACUUCACAUUCAGACACAAAUUUCUUCACUUCUGUUCUCAUUCCAGGCCAAGCAAAGUUUGUGGAGACCUUCUUGUAAGUCCUGGAUCUACCAGCAUGACCCCAUGUAUCCCUUCAUGAAACUCAGCAAUGAUCCUUGACCUCCAAUUGUCAACUGGUGGUACAAAGAUUUUUUGCUUGUAAUACAGGUGAGAAUUGCAUAAUGAAUAGUGUUUCUGCACUUGAUGGCCUUGCUGCAGCUUAUGAAUGAGCUCCUUGAUGUCCCCAUCCUUUAAACAAGCUUGUUGUAUCUCAGCCAAGUAAUCAUGAGUAGGUUGAGACAUACCGGAGAUGACAGUGAGAGUUGGGUUCCUUGACAAGGCAUCCGGCACUAUGUUAUUUUUCCCUGUCUUGUAGUGGAUGGUGUAAUCAUACCCUAUGAGUUUAACUAACCACUUUUGUUGAGCAGGGGUUGUGAUUCUUUGCUUGAGAAAGUGCUCAAUGGUUCUGUGGUCUGUGAGAAUUUGGAAAUGGUGCCCUAACAGGUAUGGUCUCCAAUGCUGGACAGCAGCAACAACAGCUAACAUCUCCUUAUCAUAAACUGAAAGAGCUAAAUGCCUUUGAGCCAAAGCCUUGCUCAUAAAUGCAAUGGGAUGACCCCCCUGAGAAAGCACUGCCCCAAUGCCAAGGUCAGAAGCAUCACAUUCAACUACAAACUCCUUUGAAAAGUCUGGAAUGGCUAGCAUAGGAGCAUAAGUAAGGGCAUUUUUUAGUGCUUCAAAAGCCACUGUUGCUACAUCACUCCACUUAAAAGCAUCUUUCUUAAGGAGGUCUGUCAAAGGCUUAGCAAUGAUCCCAAAACCUCUCACAUAUUUUCUAUAAUAUCCAGCCAAGCCUAAAAAUCCCCUUAGUGCUUUCAAGCUUGUGGGAAUGGGCCAUUUCUGUAUACUGGAGAUUUUUGCAGGAUCCACGGCAACCCCUUCUGCACUCACAAUAUGACCUAAGUACUCCACUUGAUUAACCCCAAAAGUGCACUUACUUUCUUUGACUUUCAAGGAGUGCUGCAAGAGUCUUUUGAAAACCAUCUCCAAGUGUCUCAAAUGGUCAGACAUGGAUGAGCUAUAUAUCAGGAUGUCAUAAAAAAAAAACAAGCACACCAUUCCUCAACAAGUCUCUAAGUACCUCAUUCAUCAGGGACUGGAAGGUGGAAGGAGCAUUAGUUAAGCCAAACGGCAUAACUAAAAACUCAUAAUGGCCUGAGUGGGUUCUGAAGGCUGUUUUCUCUAUAUCCUCCGCCCUCAUUCUGAUUUGGUGGUAUCCAGACCUCAAGUCCAGCUUUGAAAAGAUAGUGGCUCCAUGCACCUCAUCAAUUAACUCAUCCACGAUUGGUAUGGGAUAUUUAUCCUUAACCGUAGCAGCGUUUAAAGCCCUGUAAUCGAUGCACAGCCUCCAGCUUCCAUCUUUUUUCUUGACCAAUAGAACUGGUGAAGAGAAUAGACUAACACUAGGUCUGAUUACUCCAUUGUCUAACAACUCUUGUAUGAUCUUCUCUAUUUCUCCUUUCUGGAAAUGGGGAUAUCUGUAGGGUCUCACACUUAUAGGGGGUGUGUUGGGGAGAAGUUCUAUCUUAUGGUCUUGGUUUCUAGCUGGUGGCAGCUGUGUUGGUGGUUCGAACAAUGCAGCAUAUUUUUUUUAUCAGAGGCUGAAUUGGGGAAGGUAUCACAGAUGUGUUAUGAAGCUGAGGAGUAAACUGAAUCAAGACUGCUUCUCUCUCCUUUCUCAAUAACCUGCUCAUGGCUUUGCAGCUCACCACAGUAGCUUUAGUUUCUGUUUCCCCCUGCAGCACAUGUCGCUUCCCCAAACUGUCAAACUUCAUGGUCAUGUGCUCAAAGUUCCAUACAAUGUCUCCUAGGGUUUUCAGCCAGUUGGCUCCCAAUAUGAUCUCACUACCUAAAAUGGGCAGAACAUAGUAUUGGAACAAAAAUGUGUACCCUUGCAAACAAAGCUCCAAAGUGGCAAUUUUAGUGGUUACUAAAAUCUUCCCACUAGCUACUCUUACUCUCACAGGCUUAAUAACCUCCACCUGUGCCCUCACAUUCUUCAGCACAUUUGGGUGCAUAAAACUGUGAGAAGCACCAGAAUCAAUUAGGGUGUGUAGCUGUCUCUUGUUGCAACACCCCUUGAGUUGCAUUAUGCUACUACUCCCAUCACCUACCGCAUUGAGCUGUAAUAUCUGAUCUGCAUUAGCUCCAUCUUCUUGCUCUUCCAUUUCUCCUUCCGCCAUUGGUUCAGGCCCUCUCAACUCAACUUCUUUCGGGACAACCUCGAUUACCAUCAAGGGUUGACCUCUUCUACAGUUGUGGCCUGGGCGAAAAAUGUCAUCACAAAAAAAGCAUUGGUUUCUGGCUCUCCUUUCUUGAUACUCCGCUUGUGAUAGCCUUCUAGUGCCAGCUCCAUUGUUUCCCACAACAGCAAUUUGACCCCUUGGUUGGUUAACUGGCAUAGGAGCCCUUACAACCUGGUUUUGUGCAGCCCCAACUCUUGGAGCUAUUGCAUUGUUGAUCCUCUGGUUGAGAGUUGUCCUAUUAUGCACUCUGAGAUGCAGUUCCCUUUCUUCAAAAGUUUUUGCUAACUCACAAGCCUCAUACAAAGUCUUUGGUUUCAAGGCCUUGACAUCAGCUCUGAUGUUGUCUUCGAGACCACCCACAAAAAAUGAAAGCAAGGCCUGAGGUGAGAAUCCAGGAGCUCUCCUUGAUAGUUUGGUGAACUGGUCUAUGUACUGUUCCACUGAGCUAGUUUGACUCAUCCUAGCUAGUGCAGCUUGGUAGUCAAUCAAACUAUGGCUGCUAUAUUCCCUCAUUAAUAGCUCAGUGAGACCUUCCCAAGUUGGUGGAAAUUCAUGUCGAAACAUGUACCACCUAUCAGAAGCCUUUUCCACCAGAUGCAUAGCAGCAAGAGACAAUUUCCUCUCCUCCGGUAUCUGAUAAAAUUCAAAAUACUGCUCUGCCUUGUUUAACCAUUCUACCGGAUCACCCCCGGCAAAUUGCAUGAAGUCCAGCUUCAUUUGUUUCAUUGUUGGCAGGUUAGGAUCAAAAAUUGGGAUUGCAGUAUGGUGGUGUUGAAAUGUGGGAGCACCUUGAGCUGUUACUGUAGCCCUCGGUGUAUGGGUGGUGGUGGUAGUGUAAAUGUGGUUUGGGUUUGGUGUAAAAGAGUAAGUCUGAGGAUACUGGCAACUGUUCCCAUAAGGGUCUUGAUGGCAGUAGUAUGGGUGAGCAAAAUUGGUUGGAACAAAAUUAGGGUAUGAGGGAUUAGUAUGCAGACCAAGGUGUGUAUGAUUAGAUCCAAAAUUGGGGUAUGGGACCUGUGUAUAGGGUGCACUAACAUUCACAUUUGGCUGACCAAAACUUGAAGCCUGAGAAGCAAAAUUGGAGCGUUGGAACUGCUGGUGGUGUGGUGGUUUAGGGGGAAAAGUGGCUUUUGAAGCAUCAAUGGCCAUCCCCUUCCCUUUUCUACUUGAGUCACCCUUCUCAAAACCCUUACUACCGACUCGAGACCUAUUAACUUCCAUCUUGCUCACAUUUAGGGCGUUCAUGACCACCCCAGAAUCAUUAGUAAUAAUGGGUUAAGUAGUAUUAAACUCCAACAAGGUCUCAGAAGUAUCAUUAUCCUCAUCCAACUCUUCUAUGUUCACAUAUUGCACAAAAGAGCGAUUAAGGUUGCUACCUUUCAGAGGGGCAGCUAAAGAAGAGUCCUGAGCACGAGUUGAAGUAGCAGAGUCCAAUAGAGCGGGCUGCAGGGGUGUGCUUGUAGCCGGCGGCAGCGAGCCGAACUUCAGCAGUGAUGAGUCGAGCCUGUCAGCAGCAAUAGCCGAUGAAGUCUUCAUGGAACGCAACUCCUCCAUUAUCUCGGUACGAAACGAGUUAAAAGAGUCCUGCUGCAUGUUUAGAAUGGUCUGAAGCUCAGUGAACUUAGACACAGUGAGAUCCUUGUGAGCUUGCAGCUCAGAUUCAAUGUGCGAGACAUCACCGCCGUGAGAGGUGGUGCCGGCUGGAUUAGCCCCCUUGUUUUUUGCCAUAACGCCCAGAGCAAGGGCUCUGAUACCAGAUAAUAGGGAUCUGGGACCCUAGCUAAAACUAAGAACAGAAAUGCAAAAGAAAAUCAAAGCAAAACUAGUCUUUUUCAUUCCUCCGGCUGCUCUCUUACAAAGGCUAUUUAUACCCAGAAUGGGCCUUCUAGAUCUUGCCACUUGGCCAACAUCCAACUAGUUUGAAGCAAAACCCUAAUACAAAUUAAUUAACUAAAUUAGCUAGCUAAUGAGCACGUGUGGCUCACAUGUGGAAACAUCCACUUCUUUUGGUCUUGCUGGGAAGAUCAUAACAUGGCGCAAACAAAGAGCCGAGCAAUGGCGGUGGCUGUGCUACGAUGACAUCUUGCGUCUCGGGUGGUGAUGACGUCGGAGGGUUGGUGGCGGCUAGGGAAACAACCCCUCUUGGAUUUGGGUUCGUAUGGGCUUUGGCUGAAUUAGCUAGGGGUUCUCUUAAUUAGGCCUUGGCUAAUGAAGUUAGGCUUGAGCCCCUAGUUUAAAAUUUAGUUUGGUCUAGGUAGACUAGUGCAUUCGUAGAGUAUUGAUAGUUUUAUGCGGAUCCUAGUUUACUUGUAAAAUUGUGCUUAAUCGCUACAAGGUAGGUCUACUUAGGAUUUCAAAACUUAUGUUUUAUCUAUUAUAGGCUUGCAAUUAUGCAAGAAGAUGUUUUCUAACGACCCUACAAGGGUACGUCGUAUUUGUACUGUUUGCUCUGAUUUAAAUAGAAUGCACAAUAUGGCCCAACUUUUAAAGUUUCAUCAGGUUUGAAAAAAUCAGGUCCGGGCUUAUGAGAAGCUAAGUGUCAUCGCUUAUAAAGUGCAACUUCACACUUACCUAUUUGAUAAUAGGUGCUCACACGUAGGCCCCCCCCCCNNNNNNNNNNNNNNNNNNNNCCCCCCCCCCCACCCCCCCCCCCCCACCACACACACACACACACACACACACACACACACAUUUCCUUGGUUUUUGGUUCUGGUUCUUCUUUGUCAACCGCAUCUCCUUCACGAUGUAGGUUUCGAUGGUUGGAUUAUACGGUGUUGUAUUUAGGGAGCUCUUCUUUUGUGUUGUGGGUUUCCAUUAUGCAUUGGAAUUCAAUUGGCAUCAGUUACUCGGCAUCAACGCUCUUUUGCACUUCUCACUGCCUCAUGGCUGCUACUGGAGAUAGCGACGACAAUGUUAGCGAGCAUGGGUGGAGCAUGUGGUAGAUUUGUUGGUAUUGUUGCUUUAUUAAAUACGGUUAUAGGGUCUCCAACCUAAAGAUUUGCAAGUUGUUGGUCUCUUAUUAGUUUUUUUUAAUUUCAUCAAGUUGAUGACCCAUAUUUUUUUAUUGUUAGUAGAUUUUCAGCUUGUCUCGAGUAAUAAUUAUUUAUUUUUUCAUAAAAAAAAAAAUGAUGCAGAAAGCUAGAAAUAUCCGAAUACUUUAUCGUUCAAACUCGCUCUUAAAGGUAUAUGUGUCUUUGUGAGUAAUUUUGAAUUCUCUAUUUGUCUACAAUAUGUCUAUGUGCCAUGAGUCAUGGCCAUCACCGCUGCAGAAACUAUGACAAAGAAAUGAAAGAAGGGGCACAGAGUUCAAGGUUUUCAAUACAAAACAGAAACAGACCCAAGAAUACAAAGACAGGGGUGCUUUUGUAGUUAUAUUCACAAAUCUGUUUUUGGGUUCACCUCUCAGUAUUAUUAUACAGUAUAUAGCCAUCAAGGACAAAUCUAAGGCUUCCAUGAUGACUGAGAAGUAAAUCUAUGCAAACAAAUGAAAGCAAGUAACUUCCUCCCCACAACAACAAUUACUACCAUCUUUGAAGUUUGAGCUCAAGAUCCCAAAAGCAACCCAAGUUUUUUAGAUAGAGAAAACACACAACAAACAAAACCAUGAGUAAUUGGCUGGGCUUCUCUCUCACUCCCCACCUGAGAAUCCAUGAAGGGUUUGAUGGAAGAGAAGAAGAUCAGCAGGAACAAGACCAUGGAGUUGUGGGUUUCCCUCCUCACAUGUCUGGCAUGCCUUUGCGCUCUGAUGGCUCUCUUUGCUUUGCUGCUGACCCUUUCAGGCGUCCUGAUGGUUCUGAAGGUAUUGCACACUUUGCAUGUUUAAUUUCUUACUGUUGUUCUUGCUCUGCAUGUGUUUGAUAUUGUUCCCAACUCUAACUAAACUUUGAUUUUUGGAAGAUUGGAGGUCUUAUGAGAAUAGCAUGGUGGGUGCAACAAGUGUUACAAACCCAGUUGAUGAUGAUGAAGAGGGUCCUAAGCUCGAGGAUUUCUUGGGAAGCUGCUACUCAAACUCACCUCCUGGUGAUGAAACCAAACUUUACUGCCAAAACCAAGAGGACUCUAAAAUUAAUGUCAAUGAGACUCCGAAUUUCAGCAACCCCAAUAGUGAAAUAGAAGCCAAUUCCACAGACCCAUCUCAUCAUCAAAGCUUGAUUCAGCCAUACAGCCAUUACUAUGCAAACCCACAAAGUGGUGGUGCUCUUGUCCCAUGUACCAAUGACAUGUACAAGUCUUGGUUAGGCCAAACUGUAGUGGUUCCAUAUGCUGAAGUGAAAUCACCAUCUGACCCGGAAGACGGUAGCAAUAACUUUCAGUCUAAUCUCUCACUGACUAUGAGUCCAAGCUUGCAAAAUGGUGGUGUGCUUCCAAUUUCUCAAGUGCAAUUGGUGGAGAGCAAGAAAAGACCAGGUGGGAAGUCCUCGGCAAGAGAACCAGUCACUCGCAAGUCUCUUGAUACUUUUGGGCAGAGAACUUCUCAGUAUCGUGGCGUAACAAGGUGCAUAACACUAUUACAGUAAUUUGUUUCCAUUUCUUUACUAUGAUAUUUGCUUUAUAAAUUUUUGAUUAAUUUUGUGUUGCUGAAACUGUAUGGUUUAGGCAUAGAUGGACUGGGAGAUAUGAGGCCCAUCUGUGGGAUAACAGUUGCAGAAAAGAAGGACAAACAAGGAAAGGAAGGCAAGGUAAUUAGAAAUCAGAAUUUUUUUGUUCUUUUUUCUUUUAUGAACUUUCUUUUUCAUUUCAAUGAAGUCCUCAAGUUAUACCCUUCUAUUAUUAUUUUUUUAUGGGUACCCUUGUUUGUUAAAGGAAUAUACUGACUGCCUGGUAUUUUCUUACAUGCAUCUAUUUUGUGGAUGGGGAUCUUAUUUCAUAUCUUCAACACUACUCCUGUACUGCAACUGCAGUUUAUCUUGGUAGGUGAAACUCCAUUUCCAUGUUUGUUUUCGUUAUUAGCUUUUGUGGACCUUGUUUUUCUGCAAGAAUUUAUUUUGGCAUUUGAAGUUCUGAACAAUUCUAAUAUAAUGUCGAGAAAUAUAUAAUAUUGUAUUGGAAUGUGUGCAUGGUUUUAAUAAAACCUUAUAUCUCAUUCCCUGAUCUGCAAAACCAUCAUCAGGUGGAUAUGAUAAGGAAGAAAGAGCAGCAAAGGCUUAUGAUUUAGCUGCUCUCAAGUAUUGGGGUCCAACUACUCAUAUUAACUUCCCUGUAAGUAAUUUUGGAUUUUCUUGAUCAAGUUUUCACUUUUAUUGUUUUCUCAAAGUAAAUGCAAUCUGUUUCCAGUUUAAUUUUUUGAUGUUGCUGUUCAGAUCAGCACCUAUGAGAAAGAGCUGGAAGAGAUGAAGACCAUGACAAGGCAAGAAUUUGUGGCCAACUUGAGAAGGUAUAAACCCUUUGUACCUUUUCAACAGGAUCCCCUUUUGGACCAUUAAUUUUUUUUUUUUUUUUUUUUCUGUUUCUUUGUUUGAACAAGUACUUUGUGGUUCUUAUGCAUGUCCCCAGGAAAAGCAGUGGGUUUUCAAGAGGAGCUUCAAUGUACAGAGGAGUGACAAGGUAUGGCAGAAAACCAACUUUAAUAAUAGAGUUUUCAUUAUUUAGUAUUUACUGCAAUUUUGCAGCCUUUUCAAUUAUCAUAGGCAAUAAUAGGCCAAACAUUAUUGUGAAUUUUUGGACAUGCAUUUGAUAUCAGACGUGUAAAUUUAGUACAUAUUGAAAACCACCCAUCUCCUAUUUUCCUCAGACACCAUCAACAUGGAAGAUGGCAAGCUAGAAUUGGAAGGGUUGCUGGAAAUAAGGAUUUGUACCUUGGAACAUUUAGUAAGUUUUUCAUUCAUAAUUCUUUGUUGAAAAUAGAUAAAUUCUAAAUAGUUGGGUAAUGUACUUAACUACUUAUAAAACAUUCAUAACAUCAUUUAAGGCACACAAGAAGAAGCAGCUGAGGCUUACGACAUAGCAGCAAUCAAGUUUAGGGGCACAAGUGCUGUGACCAACUUUGACAUGAGUAGGUAUGACGUGAAAAGGAUUUGCUCAAGCUCCACACUCAUUACAAGUGACCUGGCCAAACGCCCAUCACCAAAAGACUUGGCCCCAGCAGCACCAAAUGAUCAAGAGUUCAAUUCUUGCGCUUCAUCUACUUCUUCGCAACCCCUUUUGGCCAUAUCAAACGGUGAAGAACCUUGUGAUGAGAAUCUGGUUGAAAUGGUGUGGAAUGACAACUCAGCGGCCAACACUGUGACAUUGGCUGCGGCUUCAAGCAGCAGGAAUUCGUCUUGCCCGCAAAGCCCUAAAUGCUGCGAGUAUGGACUCAACAGUGACUUUGGUCUCAGCGUAGGUGACUAUUCUCAUGCUUAUUUCAGCUCUCUGCAGGGUGCCAAGUAUGAAGAUGGCAAUGGUGGGAGCGACCAUAGCCGGCUCGGGAGUCUCGGUUUAGUUCAGCAGGUUCCUAUGUUUGCAUUGUGGAAUGACUGAGAACAGAUGUUGUAUGGGGAUCCAGAAGUGCAAAUUAGUCUCCAGGAAUUGGUUAAUUUGUGGUGGAAAUGAAGUUUAUGCUAGGUUCUAGGCACUAGGUAGAGGUGGGCGUAAAAAAAACAAUGUUAGAAGGUAAUGUGGAUUUUAAUCGGCCAAGUUCUUACAGUUAAUGUUUUGGGGUUAGAUAUUAUUAACUGUAAUGGAAAUUGCUUCAAAGAAAAACAGAGUUCAGCGGCAUCUUUUGAAUGAUGAAAUCUUGGUUAUGUUAUUUGUUCUAUUUGUUCCAUUAAUAUCGUAUAUGGUAUAAGUUUCUGCAUGUCCCAAAUCCUUUUUUCAGCAGAACGUUUCUACAUUUUGGUUGCAAAAGGUUCACUGAAACUUGGUUUUCCAGUUUUCCUACUAUGCCUUGAAAACAAUCCACAAAAUUAUGAAAUGAGGUGCACGAUAAUUUCAUCUUCUCAACAUUACAUGAGGCUAGUACUGAUAAUUUACGCAAGAAAAUCCAAAAAGGACGAUGUGAAUAUGAACUACGUACUUGUGUUUCGGGUCAGAGGCUUAGUGGUAGACCUACAAAAUAAUUUGUUGACACCUGAAGUAAUCUAGUAAGAAUUUAAAACUUUGUUGUCAUUUGGGGAAACCAUAUGUCCAAGAAUAAUGUUUGUCAUUAGGGUUCAUCAACUGUAUUCAAGUCUUCAACCCCACCAAAAAUGAAGUAGCUAUCAGCUAACCAUUUAAAGUUGCUGUUUUUGGUAUUUAUGUAUUAUGCCAUUAUUUGUUCUGUGUAGUACUUUUUGAAGAUUGAAAUAGACAAUUCAAACAAAAGUGCGACUCGUGUUGAUUAUGAAAACAACUGAAGCUAAUUGUUGAGAAGUGUAAGUUUUUUUUUUAACUUUUUAUCAAACAAAAAAUACCCCAUAUUAUCUAAUGAGAAUAUAUUUAUACUGACAGUCCAUAAUGAAGUUUAGAUAAUGUACCGUAAUGUGAAACAUAGUAUAUAUUUUCAAUUAACAUAGAUUUAAUUAAAUGAGAAAACUCUUCUAGACAUGUUAAACGCGUAUAUACAAUCAUAGAACUGAAAAACUAAAGAACGCACGAACCAAUAUUAAGAUUUGCAGCCAACAAUUUUAUCCAAUUUGUACUUCCGAGAUUUUCAUUGCUAAUGUGAUGCAAGAGUUCACUUUUAGAUUUGUGAAUCUCGUAAUGAUCAUUCCUUCCAAUUUUCAUUCUAACAUACCCGUAGUCCAUAGAGUUACGAUAACACCACCAUAAACCGAUUUCCUCUGUUUUAUCGUAUGUUAUGUCUAAAUUUGAAGGCAAAUUCUUGGAUUAAUCCAUUUCCUUGAAGAAUAAACUGCCAAAAUAAAAAGGUAACAAUGAAAAUAAAGUAGAGAUUGCCAUCCCCGUUUGGAUAAAAUGCGCGGUAGAUGAAAGUCAAAGUGGGGACAUUUGCCCUUUGACUCAUAGAAAGAGAAUCCAAGCAGAGGCAAAGUGAGAGAGCCUUAAUUUGCGUGCCCGUUGUUGGCUUCUUCUUCUGGCAUGGGCUCUCUCUCUCUUUCUCUCUCUCUGUUGGUGUUGGCAGAGGAGUUGAUUGUUUUGGCGCGUCGUCCUCCUACUCAUCGUCGUCGUCAUCAUCACGCUCAUGACUAGCCAUUAGCCCAGCGAUUUGCAGAGCUCCUCUGCAUGCUUCUUCUGCGCGCAGGCAUUUAAUUUCCGGCCCCCAUGAGUCUCAUCAAAUCAGACCCAAGUCAGAUCCAUACUAAUCUCGGUUUUAACACCCUAAGUCAAGCCUAGAGAUUUAUCCUUUCUUUCUUCUUUGAGGAGCUUCAAAUCCGAAGGACAAGACACGUUCAGAUUGCCAAACUGAAUUUCCAUUUUUCACAUUUCUAGUUCACAACACAAGAACGAAACCCGUUGAUCUAAUCAUCUAAGUUUUUUUCUUCAUUAACCUAGAGUAAUAUGAACAUGAACCUCAAGUCCUCAAGCCUCUUCGUUCGAGUUCGCAACUAGCUAUGACCUUUAAGAAAUGUGAAUUUGGGGCUGAGGAAUCUUUUAAGUUUUAAACUAGGCAAAGGUCUUGUUUUAGAGUUUUAUUGAAUCACAAAAGCCUUUUCGAAGGGUGGAUGUGUUUAUUUUCUAAGAACUAAAUUACCCCGAGAAACUGAUCCAUGCACGAUGCAUUAUGAGAGCAACCCUUGAUUGAGUUGAUUCUAUAUUCGAUGUUGGUUAUGAUAUGUAUGAAAAAAAUGGUCCAGAAAAAACCCAAAGCUGCCAAAAGAUUAGAAAAUUAUUUAAAAUGUUCUAUAUCUCAAAAAUAUUGACUCCAAAAGAUUAGAAAAUUUAUUAAAAAUUCAUGAGAAACCGAAGAUACAUAUAGAUUUAUAGGUACAUGUAAAAAUGCAAGCAACACUUGCACAUUAACUGAAAAUAUACCGAGUUAGCAGGAAAUAAGAAUAAUGUUGUAUCUAAUAACAUCACUGGUAAUUUCGAGAAUAUUAUGAAGGAUAUAAUAAGAGAGAAUGUUAUGAUGAUUAUUUGCUAAAAUUUUCGAAUAUCCAACAUUCCAACUAUUAUUGUUGUAAUCCAAGUCCAACUCAUUUUGUGUACGGAUGUGUUGCAGGAAGAAAAUUUAGAGAUAGAUUUUGGGGCAGGUGGCGGGAUCCACUCGAGUAUCUAAGCAAAGCACAGACGACCUGACAAGCUGCAGAUCCGUAUCCAGUAAAUAACACACGGAAAGAGACAAUGUCUACUCCAAAGGACAAUUAAGAUGCCCCCUUCCUUCUUCACCAGCACCACCAGAGACAUUUCAACAUCGAUCAUUGAAGCUAUCCUACUGCCCUCUAAAACCCUACACUGCAUGCCCUUUACUUUGAGGCACCUCUAGCACCACCAGUACUAGUCUGAAACUCUGAGCCUCUGAGGCCGGGCUUCAAUUAGGGUUUAGAAUUAGCAGCUAUCAGGGAUGGCUUUAUUCCGGCCUUUAUAUAUCUUACUUGUGUAGACUAGCUAGAGACUAGAGAGUAUGACUAGUCGGAUUCUGGGCUCUGUUUGCAUGGUCGACGUCUGGGUGUUCUCUGUUCAAGUCUGCAGCAAGUAUAGCAUCUAAGCUUUACCAUGCUGCUAUAGGUAUUGCUUGCUCUGUGCUUUAAUUGGGAAUAGGAUUUUGGAUCUUGCAUGAGAAACCUACAUAUAGGUGGAUAGAUACUGCAAGCAUUGCUUGCGUGUUGCGCCCAUUCAUUGCUUUCUUUUCUUGAUUCUGGCCUUUGAUGUAACUCAAUCAAUCGUUCGUCGAUUGUCAAAGUACACAACCAAAGAGAUAAUAGAGUAGUAAAACUGUAAAAGUAAACACGAAAAAAUACACAACAUAAAUCAAAGAUACAAAUAAUAGAAAUUCAAAUAUAUUACACAUAACGUCAUUGGCUCAUAUCCGAAAUGAAACUUUCCUGAAAAUUGAAUAUAUUUCAAGAUAGAGUUGCGGCAAACUCACCUAACUGUUUACGACUUUAAUAGUUUUUUUACAGAUUGGAUUAGUUUUGGGUCAAUGACACGCUUUGUAUAAUACAAGAUGUGUUUAUUGAGAAAACAUGUAAUAUUAUACGAGGUUCAGGCUCUAUGUCUUCUUGAUGCAUUCUCAAUCUAUUAUUAAUAAUAAUAUAAGGCGGAGGGACACUACUCCAACCUAAUGGGAGACCUAAUUAGGCCUUGUAAGAACGGACGUUGCCCACUAGCCUUAAUUUUAAUAAUUUUAUUCUCACUAAUAAAAUCAGAUUUCAAAAUUCUCAAGAGCCAACUUAAAAAAGAAAAAGACAAUUAUACCCUUAAUUAUUUAAAUAAACUAUAAUAGACCAUUAUAAGAACAAUAGAAAGUAUAUUUUAAAAUAAAUAUCUAUGACCGGAUUCUUCCAACCGAUGGCCGUUGACCGUGACUCCGGUGACCGUUGACCGGGAUCCGACGCCGUUAACCGGACUCCGGCAACAAUUGGCCAAACUCCGACGACAGUUGACCACCUAUUGGGGUCAGUAUGACCUCCUAUUAGGGUCAGUAGGACCUCCUAUUAGGGUCAGUAGGACCUAGACCUGUAAAUGGACCGGAUCUGAAGCGGAUCUACCUAGAUCCGGAUCCGGAUCCGUAAUAAAAAUUUUGGAUCCAGAUCCGACCCGUUACCCGCAGGAUCUUUGAUAGCUAGAUCCAAAUCCGGAUCCGGCGGGUUAACAGAUACCCGACCAGUUAAUCCGAUCCGUUUAUGAUUAUAAAUAUUUUCAAAUUUUAAAUAAUAAUUUCUCAAUUUUAUUAUAAAUUUUCAUAAAACACUAAUGAAAUAUUAUUACAAAAUAAAUGUUUACAUCAAAAGUUGAAUUACAUGGCCAAAAUACUUCUUAACAAUAAACUAAUAUAUUCAAAAUACUAACCCUCCAAUGUAUUUAGCAAAGAGCAUAAAAAAAACAUAGGCAUCGUAACCUUCAACUUCAUCAAAUGAUCAUACUUUAGACGCAAUUUAGACGUUUAGGUUAUCCAAAUAAUUAUUAUAUUAUUUAAUAUUUAUCAAUAAUAUUAUAUUUAUAAAAAUAUUAUUUAAUUAUUUUUAAACGGAUCCGGGUCCUUAACGGAUCGGAUCAACCUUGAUCCGUAUCCGAUCCGUUUAAUAAACGGGUAAACGGAUCCGGGUCCUUAACGGAUCAACGGGUCUAAUUUUCGAUCCAAACCCGUUUAAAAACCAUGGAUCCGGAGCGGGUCCGGAUUAAGAUCCAGUCCAUUUACAGGUCUAGUAAGACCUCCUAUUAGGGUCAGUAGGACCUCCUAUUGGGGUCAGUAUGCAUGGGUCUGUCCGCAGGGGUCAACUAGGGGCAGUAGGAGGGUCUACUUGGGGCAAUAGGGGGUCUAUUGGGGGCAGUAGGGGGGUCUACUAGGGGCAAUAGGGGCAGAUGACCUGCGUUUUCUCCAUCGCCAAACCCCUCACCAACAACAACAACCAAACCAAUAUAUUUUGCUCUGCCGCAUUCAACACAAAACAAAUUCAUGAAUUAAUGAGUUAUCUACCCUUCACCAAUUCAAAAUCUAAUAUCAACCAUAACUCCAUUUCGGAAUCAAAUACCAUGACCAAAAACCAACACAGUAGUACUUACCUUACAGCCAAAAGUUUUAGGCAAAGUCCUCCAAAUUACUCUCUGCACCCAAGGCCCUCCAAAUUACUCUCUACACCCAAGGCAGAAGAUCACCGCUGCCAACUCCGAAAUACGCCCCCGACGGCCAGCUCACCACCACCUCCGACGUCGUUGAGGCCUACACCGUCGUCGUUACCACAGGCAUGGUGGCGAAGCGGCUCGUGUUCCUUGGCUCCGGCGACGGCAAGGGAGGCUUCUGGAACCGUGGUGGUUUUGAUGCCGAACUCUAUGGCGGAGCAUGAAGCGACGGCGGGUUAGGCGCGGCAGAUGGAGAUGCUUCUGGAACCGUGGUGGUUUUGAAGCCGAACUCUGUGGCGGAGCAUGAAGCGACGGUGGGUUAGGCGCGGCAGAUGGAUCCGAGGUCCAGAUUCCGAUGACGGCGAGGGUUUGACCGAGCAAAGCGGCGGUGGAAGAAGGCGAUGGUGAGCUUCUGUUUCGUUUUUCCGGUACGGAGAGAGAGAGAGAGAGAGAGAGAGAGAGAGAGAGAGAGAGAGAGAGAGAGAGAGGAGGAGGAGGAGGAGGAGGANNNNNNNNNNNNNNNNNNNNGUGAGCGAGGGCGUUGGUGACGGCGUAGACGGCGGAGGAUGAGAGAGAUGAGCCUUUGCCUUUUUUUAGAGUGAGAGAGAGAGAGAGAGAGUUAGAUUUCCGUGAGAGGAGAAGAACAGAGAGAGAGAGAUAAGAGUGGAUACAAAUGAGUGGAUAUGAAAAAGAGAUAAGAGGCAGGGGUAAUUUCGUCAGGAAAAAAGCAUAAAAAGUCAAAAGUUUUGUUAGUGGGAAUAAAUCUUAAGAGUCUAUUGGGUUUAUGGAUAUUUUAAAAUCUUAUUUUGUUAGAGAAAAAAAUUACUCUAAAUUUAAGGCUGGUGAGAAUUUUUCCUUGUAAGAACGAGAUUAUUUAUUAAAGAUGAUAAAAAGAAAACGAGAACAAACAUCUAUAUAUCUCAAAGUAAAAUAACAAACAUUCACGAAAUCGAAAAGUUAAAAAGUCUCAAUAUAUCUCUAUCAUAAAAAGAACGGACAAAACCCGGCGGUGUAUCCCACCAAGUCAUCAUAUCAGAAGAUGAAGAGCCGAAACUUGCAAGAGCAUUAGCUACUUGAUUUCCUUCUUGAUGUAUCUGAGAUGAGUGAAAAUGCAAUCAUUGUCUACAACAUCAACUACCAUAGUUCUGAUUCACAAAGAGCAAGUGCCAAUGUUUUCGUAUGACUAGCACCAUACCCAAUAUAAUAUAUCAUACCAUAUAUAUCAUUUAACUGUCACUGCGCGGUACCAUUUUUUUGUUGACUUUGAUAUGUAUUGAAGGCAAAUUAUUGCAUAUCAUUACAACGUCUAUCAUUUAGAGGAAAAGAACUCAACAUAGACCAAUAUUUGAUAUGAGAAGUAUGAGUUUGUUAUCAAACUAAAUCAAUCCCGCACUUAACACAGGUAAGGAAAGAAUCAGUCACAUUAGACACUUGCACAUAUAUACUUGUUGUGGGGAUCCAAUUAAGCUCAUGCAUGACCCUAGUUUAACCAGUUCCCUCCAAUUAGCAUUAAGCAGAGGUCGGCAUCCAAAAGGCAAUAAUGUUAUAUUGGACUAUGAAACAACCUUUCAUUCUUAUAGUCCCUUCGCGUGCCUCUAGACAGGUAUUGUGUCUCAACAUUUAACCACUUAAAGAAGCAAAGAAGAAGAAAAAGGAAAGAGAGCACCAAUUUACGAAGCAUAUCAACAUCAUGCAUGCGACCAUCGUCCAUAUAAUCCUCUAUGUAUUGGUAAGCUGCAAAGGCCUAGCCGUGAGUAUUCAUAUAGAUGAAGGCGAUAUUUCCCUCAUCAGCUUUGGCCCAUCCCUCCCCAUUUAUUCUCUUUAUCUGUCUCUGCAAUUCCAACAUAUGUCUCUCUUUAAAGUCGAGCCCGCAUAACUCAGUGACCAAUUUGCCACCGCAUGCACAGAGCUAAGUGGUCGCUUUCGCUCUCUUUUAUUUGGAAGAGGAAUUUUGAUGGGACAUGAGCUAGGGUAUUGGCUGGGACUGAGAGAGCUAUGUGGAGCUAGAGGACGGUUGGGGCUGACAUGCAUACACUGUUUGGGUUUGGGUAGAUCGACACUGUCAAAGAGAGACUGCGAUAUGAUGCUGCAUGCUGCCGCUGGGGGACUUAGAUCCGGCCAAAUAUGCUUCCUGCUCUCUCUUUCUAGCUAGCUUCAUGAACGGCACUAUAGCUCUGGAACAAAGGCGCGGCCUGCCUCCUCUUCUUCUUCGCUGCUCUUCUCUCUCACCCAUGUGACCUUGUUGCUCCUUUUCUGUGACUUGGCCAUGCAUCAAGAGGGUACCUUUGUCAAUUUGCCGACAAGGAAAGGUCAAGUUACUUGGGUGUAGUAUGGCAUGCAUGCCAUCUGCAAAUGUAGUAGUACUUGUGUUGCAUUCAUUGUCUUGUUCCAUAACAUGCAUCUGGCUGGGAACAGAUGAUCUACUUUGUUCUGACUUCUGAGGGGAAAAUGUGUGAGAAAGAUGCAGUACUAGAGCGGGGCAAAAAAAAAAUAUAGAAAUGUUGAGAAAUGGAAAUUAAUUUUUAAGAUACUUUUUUUUUGUUGACAUAAGUAUGGUGACAUAAGUCACAUAUCCGUAAGUUGAAGGUAUUGUGUUCCCAUUGCAGAAGUUAUUGCGUUCAGGGAUAGUCUCCUCACUGCUCUAGAGUUGGGGUUCAAGAAUGUUUUAGUUGAAGGUGACUCCUUGCUGGUUAUCAAUUGUGUUAUUGGAAAGUUCAAGUGCCCCUAGAGACUCAUUCAACUUAUCCAAGAUAUCAGAAGGCUAACUAGUUCGUUUCAAAGCAUCUAUGUCUUCAGAGAGGCUGACUUCACGGCCAACACGCUUGCCAACUUUGGCCACCAACUUUCAAGUCCUUGUCGUUGGGAGUCAGGCUUUCCUCUAGUUGUAAGGUAGGCCAUUAAUUUUGACAUCUUUAGAGCUGGGUGCUCCUGAGAUUCUGUUUUGUAAUCAGUCUUUUUAACAUCAAAAAAUAAAAAAAAACUCAAAUACCACAACGAGUCUUUUGUGAGUUAAACUCAUGACCUCCCAGUUAUUAUGGGGAAACUGUACCACUAAACCAAAUGGUAUUAGGAACAUUGAAGAUAUUGUGAGAGUCACGAAAGAUUAGUUGAUGCGUUUGAGUUGUUAAGUUGAUAAUAGAAAUUGUGUGUGGAUUGUGCUAGUGGGUUGAAUUUCAAACCAACAGCCGGCCUAAAGCUUUUACCCCACCAAAUACGGAUUUUGUAUUCUGUGUCCUUUAUUGAGCAUCUCUAAAGGCCCAAAUUUAAUAUUAUCAUUUAAAGUCCAUUGUGUUACAUGACAGAUUACCCUAAUUGAAAUUGAAAAUGUUAUUCUUUGUGCCACUAAUUGACUACAUUGCUUUGUUUUCGAGUUUUAGUUCAUUUUACAUGGUGAAGGGAUUGGUAUCCUACAUUCUUUUUACCUUCGUGCAUUUAUGAAUUACAUAAAAAGUCUGCAACUUUUACCCAUCAGGUUUAGGGUAAAAUCAAGGACAUUUGUUCCGCCAUGCAAUUAACAAUCAGGUAAGAUUUGCAACAUUCCCAUAUGAAACUGAUCAAAAUCUGCUUUCAUUCAAAAUAUCUGCUACUGUUCGAGAGUUGAAACAAAGCUAGAAAUUGUGCUGGGCUGUCUAUUGGGUUGAAUGUGUAGCCCGAUAAUGUAAACUAUGUCUUCCUAGUCUUGGAUCCAGCUGGAACUCUGAAGAUAAUGGUUUGAUUAGUUGCCAUAAUUUUCUUUUUCUUUAUUCUAUUUGAUAAUUUUCUACACGAUUUGAUAAGAAAUCUGCAUAUACAAAAAAAAAAAAAAAAAAAGAAUGAACUUGUGGGUUCCAUAAAAAAAGCUUGCUAGACUGUCUUGCCAGGCCAUUCCUUGACGAUCCAAAGUGUUCAUAUUUUAGUUAUGGAGGGGAAUGACUUGUUCUACAUAGCUUCUUUGGCUGUACCCCAUUGAUUUUGGCAAUGUGAAAGUGAUCAAGGAAUGGAGAAAUUCUAGCCAAAUUGAUUAGUGUUCAUUAAGUUUUGCUUGAUUUCUUUAAUGCGGCUCUAUUAGAUUGUUUACAUCGAUCUGGUGAUGUUAUGGUUAUUGAAAAUAGUUAAGAAAGAGACCUCUGGAUCACUAAAGAAAUGACCUAGCUAAUUUGUCAUGAGCAAGACAUUUCCUACCCUUUGGAUCGUAGACCAAUGGGCAUGGCAUCUAUAGUGAGACUAUGGAUUAGUUUACAAUAAGAAAACCAUAUUGAAAGAUUGAGGUAGGGUUAUGGUAUUUAAGGCCGGACCCAAGAUUUAGACACCUGAGACGAGCAUUGAAAAUGGUGUCCUCUACCAGUCAUACUAGAAAAAAAAUAAAAAUAAAAAAAUAAAAAUUGCAACCUAAUUGACCAUGAUUCAUCUACUCUCUACACCCAAAUAAUACAUUAUCCCACACGGCCACAUCUAACAUGAUCAUGGUGUCCUCUCCCAGUCUCCCCCACCCACCACCUCUCUCCUCUCCCACCUUAUUUUUCUGCCUCCACCUCUUCUUUCUACAACCACAAUCAACCAAAACUUAUACAUGAUAAUCUGCCCAUUGAUUAAUUGACUCCCACCUCUCUAUUCACCUUCCUUGUCAAUGAAGUCUGUGGUUAACGAUCUUAAACACUACCCAACCCUUUAACCCUAAACCCAGGAGUCAGGACAACUAAUCUGAGUUUUUCAAAACAAAUAAGUUCAUAGGUUGAAUUUAGUAUUUGAGUUUUGGGAUUUUGGCGUUCUGAAAGAGUGAGAAUUCUGAUCAUCUAAUGAACUCCGGACGAUUUGAUUUAGGCCCCCAAGAAUUUGAUGCCUGAGGCAGUCGCCUCCUUCGCCUCUGCUCAGAUCUGGGCCUGAUGGUAUUGAAUAUUGAUAAACAAACAUGAUAUCAAAACAAUAUAUUUAGAGAGUUAGAAGAUAGGAAGUUAGGAACUUAGGAUUAUGAUACAGUCAUACAGACACUUUUACAUAUAUAUUAUUUUCAUUUGUUUGUUAGUCGAUGAAAAAUAUCAUUGAUAUAAUAAAACACAAUUGAGACGUGUUUUUGCUCGUAUAUUACUUGUUUGGAUUAUCAAAAAAGCUACUAGACGGUGGUGAGAUUCUAGAUCUCACAUGGGAUUGGUAACCAAUUGCUCUUGUUCUACCAAAACAUGGGAUGGCUCGCUACUUCGUUCAUCAAAAAAAGGAAACACGCAUUUAACCCACAUAUUGAGUCCAGACUUGAUGGGCUAUCACCGGGAUGGGUCAUUAAAGACCACCACCGGGUCUAUGGGCUCGUAUUUUAAGUUCCCACACACAAAAUGUCUUUUGAACGAGAAUUUGAGGGACUUGUCAAUGAUAGUAAUAAUAUGGCUACCAUGCCCAUGGAUCAGGCUAGGUACCACCCGCGCACCAUCCAGACCAAGAUGGAUAUCGACCCAUUAGCUCAUGAAAAUCACAGGCCUGGAAAGAGAGUCAUAAGACAAGUUAGUAAUGACCAACCGGAAGGGGACAUUUGUCCCACAUUGAAAGGAAUGAGAGAAUAAACAGGUACAAAGCUACUUAGGGAUCCCAAUCGUCUACCAAGGAAGGUAACGUGUUACUCCCUCAUUUAUUGUUCUUUUGUUCUACGUGGUUCUAACUUUACCAUCGGAGAGGGGAGAACCGGACACCCCGAUCAAUCCCACUAACUCCUACCGCAUGCUACACGAGAAGUCAAGGAAGUCCACAUAGUGACCGUACACUUGGUGACUGCUGGGCCUAAAGGAUCAGACAUAAACAAUAUGAGAAACAUAUUACAAUUCAGAUCAAUGUGAUUUGUGUUAUACUUAAUUUUUCUUUUCCUUCAAAGUAAAACCAAAUUUAAAAGCAACCUUAACGUUUUCUCUCUAAUUGUCUCCUACGGUUAAUUAAAAUCAAAAAGUUCCAAACAUUUGCCAUGGUAGAAAAUCAGCUGUCUCCUUCCAACAACGACGGGGCUGCAUGGCUAGCCAAAUUAGCCAAUGUGUUAUUGGGUGUUGCAGGUCAAGCAACUUUAAUCGAUCGACAUAGCUAGAUGGUAUGUCGAUUACUUGACACUAAAUCAAAUUUUGAGUGAUUUAAAUGUAUGAUCUCAUCUAUCUGGCGCCUCAAGAGGGGUCUAGCAGUUCUUUUCUAUCUACGGUUGUGGGCCUUGGGCCUGGGCUGUUUUUGGGCUCAUAUUUUGUCUUUUGUUUUUUAAGUUUUGGUUGUUAGCUAGGUUUUCUUCUAGUGUUGUUUGGGUGUUGGUCGUAUCUUAUUUUAGCGAGAGUUUAGGGUUUUGGUAGGAUGGUGUUGUUGGUUGUGUCCUUGGGUGUGCCAUGGUUAUAUUGUCAUUUCCAGACAUUGUUGGUUUUAAGGUUGGUUAGUUCUUGUUGUCAUUGUAAUUGGGAUGUUAGCUUCGUAUAUAUGCUGACGGUUUUGGUAUAUAGUGCUUGAGGUGGUUGGCUAUAAGAAUAUAUCGCAUACUUCUGUAAUAGAUUAAGUUACAGUUGAACCUUAUUGAUUCUUCUCUACUGUAACAUUGGUGUUUAGGUAGGGAGGAGAGUGGGGAUCUUAUGUCCACCACCAAUAUCUCCUAUAGUUUGUAAUCUUGGCUUCUGUUUAUAAAGUGCUUGCUUUUCUCAAAAAAAAAAAAAAAAAAAAAACCCUAACCCUCUUUCCUUUUUGAAUUAAGUUUCAUUCCAUCGAAAAUAGAUGUUACAUCAUGAAUCGAUCACUUGCCUUGCGUACAGAGGGCAAAUAAGAUCAAUUGAUUCACGUAGGGUAGUACCCUCAUUACUCUUUUCUUGCUCACUUGAACACCACAAAGUGAGCCUAUAAUCACAUAACAAUAGAGGAUCAUAGGCAAUUAUUUAAGCAAAAUGGGAAAUAAGGGAAAAAAAGCAAAACUUCGGAAGUGGAGUGGCACGGAGAGGAGGGACUUCUGCUGAGGUUUCAGGUGUGGAGGUCCUUCUAGGGCGUGUGUUAUGCUAACCAAUUAGGCGUCCAUGCUUUUUCUUCUGAUCCAGGCGUAGUUUGCGUGUUGUUUGAAACUAGAACAAUAGCAUUCUGUUCAUUCACAAGUCUGAGUACCUUAGCUGAGAGCGAGGCCAAGAAGUCUGGUUGCUUCAACUUCUUUGUGUGCAUUUCUGAUUGCAACUACAUAGCAUCAUCAAGGAGCACCUUCAGUUUUUUACUGGACGUCUCCGGGGAGAGUGGCCGGGCUCUUUUGAUACCAGCAACAACUUUCAAAGCUCGGCUUUCAAAGGGCUCAAUGCUAUUAGAUGUCAAGUCCGAGUUUGCAUGAUUUUUUAGUUACCGGAACUAGAGCCAAACAAUCUGCAUUCGAAUCUUUAGGUUGCUUCUUGAGCAGUACUAGGCGCCUGGGCUUGACACUCAGCUUUGCAAAGGGUGAUUUCUCCACAGCAGAAGCAUUCUGAAACCCUUGGAAUUUGAAAGAACUAUGGAACAGAGCAUUAGAGGCGAAGUUGAGUAUUGGAUUGGUACUGCUACUUCCUUCAGAGUUUCCUGCAAAUUUGUUAGAGUUACCUGAAGGGCAUCUUCCAUUUUCAUGAAAGACCAGAUCACACGCCGGACAUACAACAACACAGUUCUCAAAGAAAAAAAAUUAUCUCCUCCUGACAAGUCUUCGAUAGCUUGAUAGUUUUAGAGGAAAAAAUAGGAUUAGACAACUUCCUUUCUACCCUAACCCUAACCUUCUUGGAUUUCAACCACAACUUGUCAUCACAUUCAAUAUACCUCCCCGCAACAGAUCUAAUACCAGGGAAAUGUUCAGGAAGUUCAUACUUAGAGGGGAUGUUUUGGAUACGUACCUAGAAUUAGUGAGCUCAUCACCAUGUUCUUUAGUGAUCUGACACCAUCAUAAGGUUGGAUGAUCACCGGGGCUUGCUGGUACCUCCAUGGUCCUCCACGUAAGACUUUGUUUUGAUCCUUCAUAAGAUUGAAUCCAAUAAAGAGCAUGUUAUUUAGACGUUCCUAGAUCUGAAAACGCCUUUCCAGCACCCAGACUCUUCCAUAAAAUCUUUUCAAAUCUAUUAGGGUUGGUGGUUCAGCAUUGAGAGGCUUUGCAACAUGGAAAGACUGUUGCACCCACCUUUGAGGACAUAUGAUCUGAUCAGAGAGAUCAAUCACCCCAGUGCUUGCAAUCGCAGGAGAGGCAGCGAAGGACUUUGUGACCUUGUCAAUGGACGAGGUUUCAGAGGUUUUGCUCGUGUUUAGGGUGGACGAUGAAGAUGAAGAGAACAUAUUUGGGGUUCUUGGUGAUGAGGGGAAGCUGAGGUUUGGAGGUAUAAAGGCCAUGAGGUCGAGGUGCAGCGAGAUCGACAACGGCUAAGAUUAGGGUUUGGUGGCAUUCUCGUCAAGAGGCAGCCUUAGGGUUUUGAUAGUAGGAGACUUUACUAGCAUAUUUGAUAAAAACCUAACUCUCUUGAUAUACUACAACCGACGUUUAACUAAAUACAUAAUUUGGGUUUAGAUAAAAAAAAAUUGAAUGCAAAUGAAUUGCUUUUAUCUUGAGAAAACAAACAAAGGUUGAAGUAGCCAUUACACACAUUUCCGCUAUUAUGUAUAAACCGAUAAAGAAUAAGUAGUAAGGGUGGUUUCGGUGGAUUUAGAUUGUAACAAAUAACAUUGGAAUAAACAAGAUGCAAGUUAAUUAUUGUUUCAUUUCCUAAAACUUGUGGCUUUGUCAUCGAGCCGAACAGGCUGAAAAUCUAGAUCUAGACACAACUUCCCUCGACUGAUAUGAUAAUACUGGGAUUUGCAACGCAUAAGAUCUGUAUUAUCAUUUUUAAUGUAGUAUAUCUUUAGUAAAUGUAUAUAUCAUAUCUGAGAUUGGGAACACAUUUAAUCUCAUAAUUGGGGCAGCUAACUGAACACCUUGUAACUAAAUAAGUCGCAUACACACCACUGAAAUUUUCCUGUCACCAACUUCAUCAUAACCAUUGGACAAGUCACAAAGCUACUCUCUCUCUCUCNNNNNNNNNNNNNNNNNNNNCUCUCUCUCUCUCUCUCUCUCUCUCUCUCUCUCUCUCUGUUAGAGAAAACAGAACACAGCUUAGAGAUUCUUGCCUAUGCAAACUAAUCAUUCACCCAAAUUAGCCCCAGCCGUUGGAAUCCCGCGUCCCUCUUCCUUUCUUCUUCGCUGUCUCUCUCUGUUUUUUUUUUUUUUUUUUUCUACAAAGUAACCAUCUUUCCCUAAUUCAUGUUCUUUCUCAACUACCCCAUUUUUGACUGAUUAUAGCUAUUUCAAUUUCAAUACUUUGUGGAACCCAUUUGAAAUCUUUGUCUUAAUUUGAUCGGGGAGACCCAGAUUGGAAGAUCGAGCUCAAUUUCAAACCCUAAACGUGUGUGACCGAGUCAAUCCCCAAAGAAGACGGAAUCGAGCAAUUGGGGUCAAUCCAAGUCGACCCAAUUGGUCGAAUUUUCAAGCAAGGUGGAAAUUACCAAGACCCUGAUCAGAUUGAGAAACCCUAAAUUCUCUGAAAGGAGGGCAAAGGUUUUUCCUUUUUCAAUUUCUAAUUUGAAUUCAAGUCCGAUGAGAAGGAAAUCAAGAAUCUUGGGUUAGACCCAGAUGAGAGAGUGGCCUAGAGACCCUUAAUUCAAGUGCUCUCGCUAUUUGUGCUUUGUUGAUUUCAUGGAACCGCCAUUGUCAAGCUUGAUGUUUGUGCUCAUCAUUAGCAUAUGUGCUCUUGUUGUUGAUUCUCAAUCUCAACUGCCUCCACCAUUUGUAUCUCCACCUCCCCCACCUUCACCGUCACCGCCACCGCCACCGCCGCCACCAUCGCCUCCACCUCCAUUGCCACCGCCAUCGGAAUCUUCAACCUCCCCACCUCCGCCCCAAUCACAGACUCCACCACCUCCCCCUGACUCUUCGCCACCACUGCCUUCUUUUCUGGAGUCUCAAAGUCCGCCACCGUCACAUGCUCGGCCCCCCAAUCAGCUGAGUUCGAAGAGACCUCCAUCGCCUGCCAGAUGGCACAAGCGCCACCGGUCACCGCCACCCCCUCCUAAGGGGCACAAGUACAAUGCAGGCAAGAAGAUUGGGCUCUUGUUUGUUGGUGUUGCCGCCAUUCUUCAGAUUGGUGUUGUGGGGUUCUUGGUUUUCAAGAGGAACCAGCUUAUGAAAGUCAAGGAUAGAUAUGAGAAUUGUUCGUGAAUAUUAAGUGUCGAUUGCUUACACAUUCUUUUGUUUGGAUGAGAGUACUGGAUCGGAAGUUCUUUGAUCAGCUGGUUAUAGUGGGGCUUCAAUUAAAUGGAGAUUCUUUUGUGAGGUGCGGACAGUGUAUGAAUUGAGAUUGAUGGAUAUGAAGAUCAAAUGGAUUGAGUUUUGGUGGCUCCAUUCAGCCCCUCCCGGAUGCUCUGUAAAUGGGUUAUUGUUGCUUGUAAUUUGUUUCCUUCAUGUUUCUUCAUUAUGUUGAUUUUUUAUGUUCCUUUAGCUCGUCUACACGGCUCACAAUUUGAAGUAGAAGAAACCAUUUUAGGCUUUGUGUCAUGACUGACCUUUUUUCCUUGCUAACUUUGACCAUGUGAAUGUAUAACAAGAUUAGAACUCUGGAAGAAUUACAAUGACAAAGAUCUAGUUUCUCCUUUCCUAUUAGUGCAAUGAACUUGGUAUAUCUUUUUGGUGGGUUUAUGUUACUGUUAUGCUUUAUAUUGUGUCGCAUCUUUGAAAGCAUUUAUGGCUUUAUGUAUACGCAUUUUACCAUUGGCAUCUACGUUUUUUUUGUGAAUCUAGAAACAUAUGCACAUUCUACAUGCAUUUGAUAUGAUCUCACUAUGUUUAGUUUGACAUUCUCAUUGGUUUCUUGAUUUGUUUAUGACAAAGAUAAGACUUGAAAUAUUCUAGACAUUCUGUUUUUUCUUAUGUUGUAGCUCCAUUUGCAGAUAGUAAAACACUGGUAUGUAAUUGUGAAGCCUGUAUGUUUUUUCCUUGGUUGUCUGAAAUCAGGUUAGAACAUAGGACCUUUCAAUCAGCUUCUGAACUAAAAUAGCUUAGUCUGCUCCUGCUAGGAGGUUUAUGGUGAACAGUAUUAAGAACAUUACCAGCGUAUGAGGAUGUUUAGUAGGUGUCAUAGGAGUAUACUUUGUUUAGAGAAUUAUGUUGUUCCUUGCAUAGGUGCAGUAGGAAGUGUAGUGGCUUAUUCUAAUGUCAGUUAGUUGAAAAUUAUUGCUUGCAAUGAAAGUAGAUGAUCAUGUAGCCUGAUGUAGGAAACUAGGAAACCUGGUAUACAAAAAAAACCCAUGUUUCACACCGAGUUUUGACCGCUUCCUUUGAUUUUGGUCUGAAAGCUGUUUCUCAUUUAGUUAUAUGGCGAACUUUUGAAACUUUCCACUUUGGGACGGAUGUUUGUGAUAGUUAAGUUAUGUAUAUAUAAGAAUCUGAAUUAGAAGCGUCAUGUUUUCAACAUAUAAAGAAGAUGUAGCUAACAUGCAAAAAGGUUAUUAACGAAUCUAUACAAUCAAGAUCAUGCCUUGUUGAGUGAAAUUCAGUAGGUUUUGGUUAUGCGCUAUAUAGGUGUGGAUGGAGAGAAUUACAACAACUUUGGUAAUGUGAAGGGGGAGGCAUUGAACCUGUUGUAGGAAUUGGUUUGGUUCUGGGCAUCUCUAUAAGAUAUCAGUUUUCCCAUAAUAAGAAAUAGUUUGUACCAUAUUGCUGCUAUGGUUUAGCUCUUUCAAGUUUUAUUGUUUGGUCGUUUCAGGCUAUUUUGAGAUUUGGAGUACUGAAUGUAGCUCUAGAUAAUUCAGUGGAUAGGUUGUCCUCGGCAUUGUAUUUUUGUUUCAUCUUUUUUUUUUGGUGGGUGUUCUGUUUAAUCCUUUGAUAAAUGUGUUUUCUUAUAAAAGUAGAACAGAGCUAUAUGUUACCCAGUUGAUUUUUCCUGUCAUGCAUUCUGCUUCUUUGGACUUGGAAGAAAGAAAUGGAGCUUUGAUCACACCAUGAGGUAAGGACUUAGCAAAUUUGUACCCAGUUUUACAGAUUGCUGUCUGGAAUUGAAGUUUUACAUGAACUUUUACCAUUGAUGUGAGUUCUAUAUUUCGGUAUGCUUUAUGCUUUUAUUGUCGGAGAAAAUGCUACGCUCUUUUCAUGGGACAUGUCAGUCAUGUACUCUGUCGUAGUUUAUGUCCUAGACAAUGAGGAUGAUCAAUUCUGAGUAAUGCUACUGCUAAAUGCCUGCAAACCUAUGCAUGUAGUUGGCUAAUUUCAUGUUACUAUAGGAUGAGAAAACUGCAGCUAUCUAGUUGGUAAUUAGUUAAUUACCUUGCAAUAGCUGCAAACUGAGUACCAAUGUAAAUUCCUUGGCGAAAAUUCUUCCAUUCACUGGGUGAAAAUUCACCAAGUGACGUGGCAUCACGAUAGCCAUAUAUUUGAGUCAACAAUUGCCAUUGACUAACCCUGAUUUCUUCAGUUAACGUUUGCUUUGAAAAGAGAAAAACUGUAACUUUAAGAGGGAUAAAACUUGUAAAAGGGAGAGGUAAAACUCUAUCGACUAAUGAAGAAGAACAUCUGCCCCUCUUCUUCUUCAUCUUAUUCUUCACCACCGCCAUGUUCUUCACCUACUAACCCGAAUCUCGUCGAAAUUCCACCCCCAGAUCCGCGUUCUUCUUCACGAGGGCGUUGACAACAACGGCCAAUCCUCAAUUCGGCAACAACUAAUCGUGGCCCAGACUAUUGGUGGAUCGAAUCGAAGAGAGAGGAUGAGUGGGAGAGUGGAGAAGUUUAAGUUGUGAAGAUCGGAGUCCUUAGAGGUGGUUGGACUGAGGAUUGGUGGCCACUCCCGCUUCCACGGUGCUGCGUUUUCUGCAGAACAUGAAAUUCCUAGAUGAUGGUACUCGGCCUUUGGCAUUGGGAUAAUGGGAUUGGUUUCUCGAUAGGAUAAUAGGAUAAUAGGAUCAAUGGGAUUGUUGUUUAUUGUAUUUAAUGCAUGUUUUUUUUUUUGGACAAAGUUUUUAAUGCAUGUUUAAUUUGUUGUUUUUCUAAAGCAAUUAUGGGGAUAAGAGGAGAUUGUUUUUUUUAUUUAUUAUUAUUGAAAGGAGAUUGUUGUUUUAUAAUAACUUUAUAAAUUUAUGGAAUAAGAUUUUGGAAAUUUUGUAUAAUUUAGAAAAAUAAAAAUUUGUAUAAUCUACGUGAGAGUGUAUGGGCGGAAGAAUCAAUCAAAAUAAGUCACAAAGCGGUAAAUAAGAAUGUUUUCGUGUAAUAAAUGACGUUGAUUAAAGGUUGACUGUGUCGAUUGAAACUCAAACGUUAUCGAGAAUAUAUGAAUUUUUUUCCAUAAACAUAUUUAAGUGUGCUUAACACGUCAGAUGAUCGAAUUUUCAUUUUCUGAAUUUUAGUCAUUGCAACCACAACAUAUCUACUAAUGUGGUAUAACUUGUUUAGUGUAUUAUAUGCAAGUCUACAUAUUUAAAGCAGCUAUAUAUAGAGGAUAAAAGUUUGAAAAAUCGGCCGUAGGAUGUGAUCGGUACAGUGAAAUACAACUAUAGUAGAAAAUUCAAAUAUUUUUGAUAAUAUUUGGACCCCAAUUAAGGCGAUCAACUCUUUCUACACUUAUACUUCGUUAUGGGGAACCCUAUCGUCGGGAGGUAAAUUUCCCUAAAUUUUUAUAUGGGCUACUAGAUCACAUAUAUGUGAGAGUUUGUAGGUUGAAGAAUCGAUCAAAAUAAGUCACAUUUGGAUAUGUAUGAGUGUUUUCGUGUAAUAAGUGACGUAAAUUUAUGGUUGACCGCCUCGAUCGGGACCCAAACGUUAUCGAAAAUAGAUGAAUUUUUUUCCAUAUCUAUAUUUAAGUAUACUUAUCACAUCAGACGGUCGAAUUUUCAAUUCGUGAAUUCAGUCAUAGGAAUCACAACGUGCCUACUAAUGUAGUGUAACUUGUUUAGGGAGUUAUAUGCAAGUGUACAUCUUUAUAAACUAACUAUAUAUAUGGAUAAAAUUUUGAAAAAUCGGCCAUAAGAUAUGAUCGGUAUAGUGAAAUACAACUAUAAUAGAAAAUUUAAAUAUUUUCGAUAAUAUUUGGACCAUGAUCAAGGCGGUUAACUCUUUAUACGCUUAUGCUUCGUUAUGGGGAACCCUAUUGUCGGGAGGUAAAUUUCCCUAAAUUUUUAUAUGGGCUACUACAUAACAUAUAUGUGAGAGUUUGUAGGUUGAAGAAUUGAUCAAAAUAGGUCACAAGGAGAUAUGUAUGAGCGUUUUCGUGUAAUAAGUGAUGUAAAUUUAUGGUUGGCCGCCUUGAUCGAGACACAAACGUUAUCGAAAAUGAAUGAAUUUUUUUCUAUAUCCAUAUUUAAGUAUACUUAUCACAUCAGACGAUUGAAUUUUCAAUUCGUAAAUUCAGUCAUAAGAACCACAACGUGCCUAUUAAUGUAGUGUAACUUGUUUAGUGGGUUAUGCAAUUGUAUAUUUUUAUAAACCAACUAUAUAUUGGGAUAAAAGUUUGAAAAAUCGGCCGUAGGAUGUGAUCGGUAUAGUGAAAUAUAAUUAUAGUAGAAAAUUCAAAUAUUUUCGAUAAUAUUUGGACCCUGAUCAAUGCGGUCAACUUUUUAUACGCUUAUGCUUCGUUAUAGGGAACCCUAUCAUAAGGAUGUAAAUUUCCCUAAAUUUUUAUCUGGGCUACUACAUCAAAUACAUGUGAGAGUUUGUAGGACUGAAGGAGCUAGUCCUUAUAGCAGUGCAAAAAUUUUCAUAAAAUUGUUUUAGAACUUGAACUAUUUUGUUUAGAUUUAUUUUUAUAAACAUUUCCAUAAUUCUUAUUAACAAAACUCUUCUAUUAUAACAUUUAGGGAUAAUGCCAUAAUGGACACUAUCUCUAACAUUUAUAUGUAUUCAGUCUCACAAAAACAAAACAUUUAUAUGUAUUUUCUUGUUUUCAGAGGUGAAUAAACAAAAACUAAAUUAUAAGUAAAUUGAAUAAAAAUAAAUAAAUAAAUAAAACUGUUAGCUGAAAAAUAUGUGCGCAAUUGAGUGCACGCCAUGUGCCGGCAAGAUUAGUAGGUGGCCUCUCCACCAUGACAACAUGUAAACAAGUGGCCUUCAAAUAAAAGUAAAAUACGAAUCUUUUUUGGAUGAGUAAUAAGCCAUAGUACUAAUCCUCUUCAGAGCUCCUCAGCCGAUCAGAUGAAGGAGAGAUCGAUCGAAUUCACUAACCCUCUAAACCCCGCUUGACCCCCCGUUCUUCUAGGUGUCCUCGUUGUCUGGAAUCGGAGGGAUCCCGAGUGGGUCUUCGAGCAAUUUCUACAAGGAGUCGUCUCGUCCCCACCACCCACAGCCACCGAUCCGGUCAUCGACUGUGAAGUGAUUCGACGCCGAGAAGCUUCGGAGGUUCGGCGUCAAUUUCUCCGGCGACGGCUUGGGCGCUGCAUAUCUAAUCCAGCCGUGAUGGUAGAAAAUUACAGAUGCUAAGUGAUGGUAACUUAGCCUCGUGUUUUAUUUGUUUGACCAGAUUCUGUUAGCGCGUGCAUUCACGCGUCGUUAACAAAACCGUUGGUGAGGUUUCGCUCGGUGGCCUGAAGAAUCUCCGAUUCCUUGGUUGGAAGUUGACUAGCAUUGUGUAUCCCAUUUGACAAAUUAAAAAUGAUUUGAUAAGAGUUUCCAAGAGUUUUCUUGGUACAUUUUGGUGAUAUUCUGAACAUUAGUUAUGUCCCUUAUGUGACACAGUCUGACCUUUCUUUUCUAUCAAGAAAGAAAAAUAAUUUUCAAUUUUAUUGCUUGGAACUUUUUGUAUUUAUUAAAGUCUUGAUUCUUGAGGAAGGAACAGGGUCCCAAUCCCCAAUCUGUGAGAUGCUUAACAAGCACAAUAUUUGUGGUUGCAGAGCAAGUUAAAUCAGACUUUUCUACUAUACAUGUGUAUAACAUACAUCAAGUCGUGAGUCGUCUGAUCGUCUUAAAUUUUGAAUUGUUAAAUGAUCGGACAUGUCACGACUUGAUGUAUGUCAUACAAAUGUGUAUAGCAGCCGAACCCAGUUAAUUGAUCGAGAACAAAAGCUUGUUUAGGGUCUGACUAGCUCACAUGAUCAAAUAAUUCAAAUUAGUCUAACAAUCCUGUAAACUUCGAAUCCUCACAGUAAUAAACUUUUGAGAAAACAGAAAAAGUAAAUUGGGUUGUAAAUUAUCCAAUUCAUUACAGAUGACAUGUUUGAUGUUCCUCAUCUUGGGUCCUCCAUUACAGAACUUUUUUUCUAUGAGAACUUGGGUCCUCCAUUACAGAACUUGGAGCCUGGAGGCCCCCUAGCAUUUUCAAAAUGCUUCCAGUCAAACAAGCAAGUCUACAAAUAUCGGACAUGUUUUCUUAGAGGGAGUAGAAGACUCAAAUAAAUAUCAAGAUAAAGCAAAAAACAGAAAAUCCUUCAAUAGUAGACCCUACAUUAUUCAUUCACCAUAAGCUUUAGCAAAAGAAAAUCUCCCCCUAGCCAACCAAUCCAUCUAACAAACGCAAAUGACCCACCACCCCAGUACUCUUUUGGCCUUGAUCAUAACUGGGAGAGUCACAAGAAGACUUGUUCAACCAUCUGCACCAUGAAUUAAGAUUUCAUGUUUCAAAUUAAAGAUAAGAGGAAACUAAAGAGAAUUUUGACAGAAAACUAAACCAAUUACCACGAUGAAGUCUGGAAUUGGGUGCAAGAUCCAGCCAGGUGUCUGUGGACUUUGGAGGCCAGUCUCCAAAGAAAUGGUGGAGGGACUUUUGGGUCUGAUCAGCUUCUUUAUUCUCUAUUUUCAUUGGUCUGCUUGAUUUGAAAUCAGUGCCCAAAACAUAGCAAUGCUGCUCAUCCUGGGAUUGUUGCUGUGGAUAAUGUUCUGUGAGGCUUUGGAACUGAGACUGGGAUGAGUACCCUUUGUAGGAGCUCAUAAAGCUUCUUGCAUUUUCAGAAGACUCUGCAGGAAAGAAGGCUAGCUCAUGAUCCACACCUUCCUUUGUUCCUUGAAGAUACCUAUUUGCAGAGAAAAAAAGAACAAAUCUUUAUGGCAAAAAACACAAGAAGGCAAAUCAGGAGAUUUGAUUCGAUUAAUACAAAUAACAAACCUGUAAUCUCUGUGAUCAGCUUCAUUAACAUAAGAUCCAGAGUUGAGAAAGAGUUGAGGGUUGGUAUUAGAACCCUGUGGCCUAGAAAGGAAUGGAUAAAGAGAUGAACUUUGGUGUUGGGUUUGAGGUGUUUCAUUGCUGAAAGAUGAGGAGAACAUUGAAGGGGAGGUUUUGGAGAGGUUUUUGUGGAUUGAAGCAGGGUUGUAGUCUGGAGGUGUGGGAAUAGUAUCACUAUUAGGAGUAGUGUUUGUAGUAGAAGAACUAGAAGAAGCUUCCACAGGCUUUCUUGAACGGUUUCUGCCUCUGUGCAUAUGCCUCUCACAGUACUUAGAAUCUGGGUAUGCUUCCUUUGAACACCUCCAUUUUUUACCAUCUGUUCUUCUGCACCUUCCUGGCUCUGGGUCUAUCUUUCUGCCAAACCCCAUAUCAUAGCAACCCCACCCAACUGUUUCAAUUCAAUUAAUUAAAAAAACCCCACCAAAAAGUCUAAUCAGUAUAAGCAUUUUUUUUCAUUAGCAAGUUGAAGAACAAGAGACAAACUUAAACCAAAAACAUACAAGGGUGAUGAGGGAAGAGUCUGGAAGACAUUGAGGAAUCCAGUCUUCUUUUAAAGGAAUAGACAAGAUCAGUUGGGACGGGGACUCCAGAGACCAUGUACUUGAAGAUGAGAGCUUGAUGCUCUAGCUCUUGCCAUUGUGUUGCUGUGAAAGGGUACCUGAAAUUCCUUGCACUACUUGGACUUCCCCCACUCAUCAUUUUUGAACCCACAAUGGGAAAACAAAGAAAGAACAGCUCUGGGAUUUAAGAAGAAGAAGAAGAAGAAGAGGGCAUUGGUUUGUUUGUUUUAUGCAUGGGUGGUGAAACUAAUAACUAGUUGGACUGAAACCGAUGACACUUGCUGCUGCUGCCAUCUUUCUUGCUCUUUCUCUUCUUCUUCUGGUUCUGAGUUUCGCACUCACCCCUGUGCUCUUAUUAUCACUGCAACUCUGGUGCUUGCUCUGCCAUGCCUCACAUGAGGGUGGGCCCACUGAUGACCUCUGUCUGGGCCCACGUGUGCAGUGCUGCAGUGCAGGGGACCUAAGCAUGUCCCACGGGUCAUCCCGGAUAGCUGCUGCCGCUCCUGUCUCUCAAUCUACAGACGACAUAAAUCGAGUCACAAAAGAAAAUAUGUACACAAAACAAAGAUGAAGAUAUAGAAUUAGAAUUUUAGAUAAUAAAACCAUGAAUAUUUCUUUUUAUUUUUCCAAUUUAUUUUGUUUAAUUUUAUGGACCUCUGGUUUUGCUUUGUCCACCCGGAUGAUGGAGGCCUGGAGAAGAGUGCCUUGUCUGUAAUGUACUGCAAAUAUUUAUAGCGGGGAGAGCAAAUCUCUUUUGUACAUGUCAUGAACUCAGUGGGAGACAUAAGGGCUAGCCCUAGCCAAGCUCGUUUUGCUUUCCAGGUUUUUGUUUUUAUCUUCAGUAAAUUGCAUGUUACUCUCCACUUCAUUAAUACAGAAGAAAUAGGUACAACUUGUAACAGAGGUCCAUAAGUGAGAGAGUUAUGUCUUGUACAAGAGCCUAUUCAGCGCAUCCCGGGUGCGCCGCGCAUCCGUCAUCUCCGUCGUUCAUUUUGAAAAAGUCAAAAGGUUCUGCCAAGUCCGCGUCAAAUGGACGGCGAAGAUGGACAGGUGCGCGGCGCACCUGGGUGCGCUGUAUAAUUUUCGGACUUGUACUAAUUAACCCCUAAGAUCUCAAUUGGUGUACGUCUAAUAACAUUCAAGAAAGACACAUAGGGCUAGGAAACACAAACCACGUCCCGAAAAACCAUGAUGUAAAUAGUUACCUCAUGCAACACAUAGAAGCCAAGACACCAGACGAGGGACACGAUCGAACAGACCUCACCAAAUAUGCUACGUGAUGAAUCAAGUCAAUCAACCUCCAACCAAAUAUGCUUCCAGCCUCUAUCCCAAACCAAAUGAAUGGCUUUUAUAACUUCAUUACUAAUGCACAUAACGAACUCAGAAUGAGAUUGAUAAUACAAUUUCACGACUUGUAGAUCCAUCUGAAGACUAAGUUAGCUCUCACAGAGCUUAGAAUGAACAGUAUCUUUGUGAAACCACACUUUGACACCCUCUUUACCAGUAUCUUCAUUUUCUUCUAUCACUGAACUCCAAUUGAUAAAAGAGAAAGAAAGUGAAAUUCUAAUUGUUUCUAUAAAAUCUUGUUCGUCCCUUUCUGUCAGAGUUCAUAGCGAAAAUAAAAAAGUACCUCUAUAAGCAACGUAACAGUUUCAUCGAACCCCUAAUGGAUUCUUGUGUUGGUCAAAUUAACAAUAAACAAGUUAUUAGUAAGGCAGACAAUCUGAGUAUACUGCAAAAUAAAUUUGUCUAUACAAUGAAGACAAGAAUCAGAAACCUUCCCUUCUGAGUGAAGGCUGUUGAUGACCUGCAAUUUCUCUCUGCCCCAAAACACAUGCGGACUUCUCGUUUAUGGGGGUUGAUCAACCAAGUCAGGCUUCCAUUGAUGAAUCCUAUACUUCCUCAAUUACUUCUCUCUUUGAACACACCUCUUUCCAUAUUAGUUCAUAAGAUCCUUGUUAAGCGUAUCUUGGCAGACUCGGUUCAGUCACCUGCGCACCAUUCUUUCCUGGACAAUACAACCAUGACUCGAUCUGUACAAGGGACCAAGGGUACAUGACAUCAUUGGCUUCUUGAUGGGUUUUUGCUACGAUUUGUAGAAACACGAACUAUGAUUCAUUUAAGUUGACAAUUCAAUGUCUCGGAUUUUGAUCCACAUUUCACCUGCUUCAUAGGAUGUGGUUGUAAUGGUUCAAUUCUAUGAUUUUAUCAUCAUCCAUGUCCUAUCGAUGGAUUUGAGCCGAUCCAAUAAUACUUCUCCAAUUUAACGUAAAGACUUCAAGUUACUCUUGUUUAUGUUCAUUGAUAGAAGAUGAUGACACAUACAUUGUAUACAAUUAGAAUUUGAGACAAGCUAUGGUAUUGAGAUGUAUAUCCUACUUUUAUUUUACAUGUACUUGAACAAAAAUUACAAUGGUAUGAAUCAAAUUACAACAUUGAGAACAAAUUUACCAAAUUUAUUUACACUAUUUACAUGAAGUUAAACAAAAUUACAACUAUGAGAACAAUUUAUUCAAAAAGUUGUAAAAUGGUUGUACAUUUUGUAAUUACAAUUAUUAGAACAAGAUUACAAACAAUAAGACUCAACGUUACCACUUUAACUACAAAUAUGUUGUCACAUUUGUAAAUGUAGGUAUCACAUACGGGUAUGUAUCAUAUAAUUUCCCUUAAAGAGUUAGAACAUAUUUUAUGUACGAAGGUACCUUUGUUUAUAUGUUCAAUAAUACUUCUCUAAUUUAACGUAAAAACUUCAAGUUACUCUUGUUUAUGUUCAUUCGUAGAAGAUAAUGACACAUACAUUGUAUACAAUUACAAUUUAGAACAUAUUUUAUGUACCAAGGUACACACUUGCACUAUCAACAUACAAAUUGCGGUAAUUGGAGUUACGAAUAUAGAAUAAAGACUAGAGAUCCUCAAAUCCUUCCUAUGAUGUUCAUUUUUGAUUCGAUCAAAUUAAGCUUUAAUAAUAAAAGAACAUAUUUCUUCAACCUCAGGUCCUCACCCCUAAGUGGAAAACAUGAGGAUAUAUAUAUUUUUUUUCCGGUUUCAAUUUUGUUGACGACACUAGUAUAUAUGCAUGGUACCGGUAGUGGCACAUGGAUGGUCGGAUCAACAUAUUAGUUGCUCGGUUUACUUACCCUUAGAGGCGUGCAACUCUCUUUAAUCACAUCCUCAAUCGUUAUUUAAGAAAAAUAGAAGAAAAAUGAUUUUUUUUUAGUAAAAUCGAGAUCAAUUUUUUGAACUAAUUUUCCGUAAUUAAGAUUUGUUUAGAAUCUAAAUUGUCAUAUUUUUUUGGAUUUGAUUGAAUUGCCGAUGAACCGUGACAUGUUGGUAAAUAUAAAUCUAAUAGUAAGUGUAGAAGUAAUGAGACAUCGACUAUUUUCCUCAUCCACAACAUUUCCUAUCUCAAGUCUGAAAAUAUAUAGGACCGGACUCAAAGCAUGUCUCAAGCGGAUGACAAUUUUAAGGAUUGGUCUCAAACAAAGACGUGGGACUCAAGAGGACCUAGACUAUGUGAUGUUAGAGAACAACAGUACUUCAUUACAUUGUAAGAUCAAAUUCGACACUUCAUAUUAUUUCAAACAAAAUUCAACCAACCAAUGUUAUACACAGAUCAAUAACCAAACUUGCAGGGAUAUGCUAAAUGUGAUUUUCAGUGAACUCGAUAGCUGUUCAUUAUGUUUGUCUUACCUCUAAGAAUCCAAAUACAAUAUUCCGACUUCAAUUCUCCCAGUCUCAUUGCACACGCUACGUUUUAGAUAAGGGACGGUUGGUUGCUGCCGUUUUCUUCUUUAAAUUGGCCAUCUAAUCUGAGAAGACCUGUAAUUGCAAUGUCGGGAAGAUGGACUAAGCAGACCAACUUUGUUUGACUCACCUAUAUAAACACCCCAAUAUAAAGUCUCUCUCUUUCGGGGAGAUAUAUCUGACAGAGAUGCAUGGAAGUAGGGUUGAUGAAGAAGUUAUAGCAGGUUUUAAUGUUCUAGUUAUUUCUCCGUCAAGAAUCUAGAGGACCAAAUACUUGUUAAUUUGGUGAAUGAAAAAAAGGUUUUUGUUUUUGUUUUUUUAUUAUCUAUAAUUACUAAGAUAUUAAUAUUCUCAGAAAAUUUCCUCUUCGGUGUUUGGAAACACUUGGGAAUUUUGGAUAUACAGGUGGUUGAUGGACUUGAGCAAGUUUUGGCAUGAAUUUGAGGUUUUAUUCUUCGAUUUUCUUUAUGCACUUAAGAUCGAGUUCGAUCCAAUCAUCACUUCAAAAAUCAAACCUGUGAGGCUGUGCCCUAAGCUGAUGGCCUGAUGUAUGCAAGAUUGCAAGUAGCUGGGAACAGUGGAAUUCUGAGAAAAGGGUUUGGGUUUGCACACUUUGAUAUGACUGAUGAGGUGGGGGGGGGGGGGGGAGUGCAGGUGCAGAGGUGCUCUAUAUUAUCAGGGCCAUGCCACUGAUGUCUGGCCAGGAGGCACUGCAUGAGGGCAGUGCAGUUACAGCUUUGCUUUGCUUUGGAGUUGGGAGUAAUAAGCAUCGUCUACGCGCUCUGACAUAAUAUUCCAUUGCAACACUGCAAGAGUGCAAGAUAUCAAAUAUAUAUAGAUUUUAGCCCAGAAAAAUCAAUGGCCUUUCUUCGACAGGAAAGUCCACCACCCUUUUUCUUAGAACAAAAAGAAAAGAAAAUAAAAGAAAUAUCCCCCAGCUGAUCAUUCAUUGUUAGGAUUUGAACUUAAGCUAUUGAUUAAUCUACGAAUUACAUCAUGUAAAUGCUCUUACCCGAACAAGCUGUGCGAAUUUGUAGAUGAAACUUUUACUUAAAAAAAAAAAAAAAAUACAGAAGAAAAGAAAUAUCCACUAAUGACCAAGGAGUAAAAUAUUGACGAUUAUGGAAAUUUCGGUGGUUCGAAAAAAAGAAAUCUCGAUGGAUAUAUCAAGAUAAUAUUGAAUAUCGAUGAAAAUUUUACUAAAUUUUAUCUAAAAGUUGUAUAUUUGACCAAAAACAGACUAAAUAUAAAAUAUCAGAAAUAUAUGAAAAUUAAUAUCGGUAAUUAUAAAAAACAAAAAUUUCGAGGAUAUUUUGGAUAUUUUUGCUAAUGACCACUAGUUGCUCAUUCAUUGUUAGGAUUUGAACUUUUAAGCUAUUAAUUAAUCUAGAAUUACAUCAUGCAAAUACUUUUCACUGAACAAGCUGUGAGAAUUUGUAGAUGAAACUUUUUUAUUAGCAGUUCAGCUAACCUUUCAUACCUUCGUGUAAUUUGUACUUUGUAAAUGUCCACAAUACUUUUCACCAAGCGAGCUCUUAGAAAUAAUUUUAUUGAUACAUAGCAUAUGGAGAUUUUUGGAAUCAAAUUUGCCAACCUUGAUGGUGGUCAUGGCACCACCCAGUAAUAGGUAGCCACGUGUAAUGCACAUUGAUAACUAUUAACUAUGGUUACGUAAAUAACUCAUUGCUUAAUAUUUAAUACUUGAGAAAACAAAUCACCAAUUUUUGCGGUUCUUUCUCCCCCACCCACUACAACAUCACCGGUUCACCACCGCGCAACCCCAUCCCCAAAUCCCCAACUUGUCCGGCUGACCUAAUUGGAGUCAGAUCCAGGGCUUCUUCUCUAAGCUACUUUCUUGUGUACGUGUUCUUGAACUUUCUUGAUAGUAGUUGGCGGACAUCUGGAAGCGGCCACAGCGGUGAAGCCAUCGUAGCGGCUGUAAAGGCUGAGAAAAUUGGCGCAAAGAAUGCAUAUCGUCGCCGGUCAAUGACCCCAUUAAUAAACCCCUCAGCUUCACUAUGCAUAUUUUCGCCGGCCGAUGACCCUAUUAGCAAACCCAAUUUCAUACUCGAAUUUGUAAGUUGUAGACUUUCGAACCCAUCAUCCACAAGAUCAAGAACCCGAACUAGAGGCUAAUGGAGCACACAAUAAGCUUGCGAUAAUCAAUCACAGCACAAAUCAACAGUUUCACAGCCACCCCAUUACCAUCAUCUUUGAUUCUGGGCCAAAGUCCCAAAACCAACUACUGUUCAAUUUCUAAUCAAGCACAAAUUGCCUUUGCUCGUGCAAAAAUGUAGAACCUGAUUAUGGUUAGGGUCAUUAAGGAAGAGGAAAAUAGUGAGUGGAUUAAGGUUUGCGUUUGAGACUUUUUUAAGAUCCAAAAAUGUUGGUUAGUGGUUUUGGGAUGUGCUAGUCCAAAAUAAUACGCGUUGCUGGGUCUGUCAUGGUUAGAAACUUGAAUGGGUGAAAGAGAAAGGAGAGAGUCUUAGGUGCAGUUAACGUAUAACCCACUAGUCACACAACGACACGUGGUUUUUUUUUUUUUUCCAAACACCCCCCCCUCCAACCUGCGUUCUUCCUCUUCCUCUUCCUCUUCAUUCCUCUGCUCUGGCGCUUUUUCUUUCUUCCUCCGGCGAAGCUUACACGGGUUGGCGGAGGCGUCCUCUUCCUUCCUCUUCCCCGGCGAAGCUUCUUCUUCCUUCCUUCGGCGAAUCAACGAAGCUUCUUCUUCCUUUACGGUGGAGGCGGAGGCGGAGGCGGUGGGGGUUGCAGAGGUGGCGGCUGGGCAGAGGGAAAGAAAAUCGGAGGGGAUCGGUUUCCGACCGGAGAAAGGAGGAAGAAGAAGAAGAAGGCAGGUGUGAAAAAAAAAAAAAGUAGUCAAAGAGUGAUUGGGUGCGCAUAUGGUAGGUGGUGCGGCUGUUGCACUUAAGAAUUUCUCAAGAGAAAGAUGAGGCUACUGUGUUUUAUUAGGAAAAUAAUGAACUAAUAUAUUAUUAACUAUUGUAAACUUAAAGAGUUAAUUAGAGUUGUGUUUUAGAAAACGUGGCUACCUAUUACUGGGUGGUGCCAUGACCACCAUUUUGGUGAUGGUUGGCAAAUUUGAUUCCGAGAUUUUUGUACCAAAACACUGUCAAUUCACCUUAGCUAUUCAGAGAGCUUAGAAACUUGAAACUUUUCCUUCAAAGAGAUAAUUUUUCUUGAAAAGUUGCCUUGCCAAUGCCUUUUUUAUUAUUAUUAUUAUUAUUUAAUUAAAUAGAAGAUUAGGCAAUAUUAACUCCUCUACAACGGCCGAUUUGGGGCAACAAGCGCCCUCUCACAUCUGGGAACCUACCGCCCGUCCCUCCAUUUAUAUUUAUUAAAGAAAAAAUAGAAAAAAGGGUAUGAAACUUUCAUUAUCAGGAUGUAAAACAAAGUUUAAUUUAUCCUUACAAAAAAGAAAAAUGAAGACAAAGUUGAAGUGUGCAGGCUAGUUGGACUACACUAACCCUAAAGCCCAAACCCUCUGGGCAGCCUAGGCCCAAAAUACCCUACCCUAGCCCAAGUGAAGCAAACAUAAUUGUUUUUCAACUCCUAGAUAAGCAUAUCUGCAUAGAUAUGGCUAGCUCCUUUGAAAUUCAUCAACUUGAGAUCCUAGUAUUGAAAUCUUUUACCAUAUGUAGGGAUUUCGAAGAAUUCUGUGAAUCAAGUUGACUGAGCCCUGCCCCCAUUCUAACGGCAUUAAAAAAAUAAAAAAAAAUAAAAGGAAAAACAAACAUCUUUUGUAGCUUAACAUUCUUGGUCAUUGCGGGAAUUCUCUAGCCAGCUGCAUUUUCUGGUUUGAAUCUUGUUGGUUUCUCAGCUUUGUUCCAAUUCACACUUAUUUACUACGGUACGCAUGGAAUUAAUCUUAGCCUUAGCUGGAGUGAAUUACUGUAGUCCACACAUGAACUCCAUGGUUGCCAUUGAAGGAGCUAGCUAGCUAGGGACCAAUUUUCCUUGAAGAUUUUAGCUGUCAUGUUGUCUACUUAUGCACCUUCCGGCCCUUUCAGUACUCUUCCCUCUCACUCUUUCCAUGUGCUGCUGUAAGGACCACCUCAAUAUCAUUAGUCUCUUCUCCUCUGAUCUUCUGGUAAUUUGAGCACUAAAACUAGCCAAAGAAUGAUCCAUCUUAAUCACCAUUAAUUAUCAUUAGUCUGUCUGUGUUGGGUCUAAGAAUUACUUCAUGCAAUCCCAUUACAGAUAAUAUAUAUGCUCCUUAUUUAGCUUAGUCCUGCAAGUUUUUCCAGAGUGGAGAAAACGAAUGCUUUCCCUAACUACCAAAAGUGACAUCUUGUUUCAUCAUCAAGUAGUGGCUCUCUUUCUUUCAUUAGUCCAUUGUGUCCAGUGCAUGCAUGGUCUUGUUCUCAACUUGCUCCCAACCAAUUCAUGAGCAAUUUUUGUAUAUAUACCCAAUCAAAUAGAUCGACUUGAGAUGCGAAGCUCAGUAACCCUAAGCAAGUCUGUGAAAAUGCCUCAUUACUCUAUUCUCUUCCUCUUUUCUCUCAUCUUCUUAUCCUCUUCACAUGCUUCUGUCCAAGACUUCUGUGUUGCGGAUCUAACUGGCCCUGAUAGCCCUGCAGGCUAUUUCUGCAAGAACCCUGCUAAUGUCACUGUCAGUGACUUCGUGUAUUCUGGCCUAGCCAAAGCUGGAAACACCUCCAACAUAAUCCAAGCUGCUGUUACCCCCGCAUUUGUCGCUCAAUUUCCGGGUGUAAAUGGUCUUGGUCUCUCUUUGGCAAGGCUUGACCUUGCGCCGGGCGGCGUUAUUCCAUUCCACACUCACCCUGGUGCUUCGGAAGUUCUUAUUGUGUUGAGGGGAUAUAUCACUGCUGGCUUUGUUUCUUCAGCCAACACUGUUUACGUGAAGACUCUUAAAAAGGGAGAUGUCAUGGUUUUCCCACAAGGGCUGUUGCACUUUCAAGUAAAUGCUGCUAAAAUACAUGCCAAGGCUAUUGUUAGUUUUAGCAGUGCCAGCCCCGGUCUCCAAAUCCUCGAUUUCGCACUUUUCGCUAAUGAUUUGCCUACUUCAUUGGUGGGGAAGACAACUUUCCUUGAUCCUGCUCAAAUCAUGAAGCUGAAGGGUGUCCUUGGUGGUACAGGAUAGUAGUAGCAGGCUAGCUAGGUGCUGGCUUUGAACUUUGUAUUUUUUUUGUUGAUUUUUUUUAAGAUCAAUUUUCAAUGUACUUUUAUCUUUCAUCAAGUUGUGGUUGUGGCCUUCAAUACUAGUCCAAACAAUUGCUGCGUGAACUAAUCUUUUCGGGUUUGUCUACAGUCUACUACAUAUAUGUAUGGUAUACUAAUCGGAAAAAGUGGUCCACUCACUUCUAUGUAAGACAUAUAAACAGCAUUUUAGGGGGUAAAUGAUCACUUGCAUUACAUUCUUCAAACAAUGAUAACAACGUAUAUACUUAGUUUAUAUGAUAUACAAAUAUGUAUAUUAGAAUUUUUCAUUCUUUUCGAGAUACAUUAUUAUCUCGAUGUGAAGCUGAUUAUGAAGAAUUAAAUGAGCAUAUUUCUAUUGGUCCAAUUUUUUUUUUUUUUUUCGAUUAGAAAAUAUAAUAAAAAACAAGAUUACAAAGAAAGCCUCUGCUACAAUCACCACCACAAUGAUCAAAGCGGAAGGCAGAGUAGACUGAGGCUGGAAGCUGGGAGGACCAACACAUUACAUCAUGAACAUUGUCCUAGAAGAGCUAAAGAAUCUGCCAUGAAAUUUUGGUCUCUCCAAACACGCUUAAAGAAAACAGAGUCAAAGUUCCUGCAGAGAUGAUGGAUAUCAACAACUAAGGAUUUGAUCCGCCAUAGGCAUUGAGCUUUGCCAAGAAGAACAUCCAGAAGAACUUUGGAGUUGCCUUCAAUAAAUACUGGUUGUGAUGUAAUGGUUGACGGAGAGCUUUAGCUUCAGAAGAGAGCAUGCACAUCAGAGAACCUAAGAUUUUUGGAGACCGCAAUGAGGGGGUGACCCAAAUGGUUCCGAACUACAAAACCAGCUACCGCUCUUUGAGAGGGACGAACAUAUCCAUCAAAAUUAAGUUUGACUGCAUUUGGAGGGGGAGGAUUCCAUUUGAUGGUGGUAGACGGGUUGAAACGUUUAAGGGGAGGAGGAGGAUUGGCAGCGAGAUAUUGUUGAUAUAAGAUAGCAGCGCGAUGGGUAACUUGGCUUGGGAUGAAAGCGAAAUUUCGGAAGAUAACAGCAUUUCGAGACUUCCAAAUACUAUCACAGAGGUUGAAAAUUUUAUCUAAGUUGAAAGGUUGGGAUGAACGAAUAGAGUUAAGCCAAGCUAUAAAGGAAGAAUUAGGAGAUAAAAUUGGUAAGGGGAGAUGGGAAAGGUUCCAUGCAUGCCUAGAGAGAGGGCACUGAACAAAGAGAUGUUCAAGGGAUUCCUCUGCAUUGUUACAAAGAGGGCAAGUACUAGGGAUAUCCGGAGAAAAGUAAUGCAAUCUUUGUCUAACUUUGAGUCGUUCACAAAUUAAUAACCAAGAGAAAAGUUUAACUUUUGGUGGUAGAGAAAGUUUCCACAUUGUGUUCAGUAGUUUAUCAUAACGAUGAUUCUGAAAAUUAGCGAAAUGCAAAUCAGUAGUUGAUUUGAUAAAAAGCUUGCCAGAACCAAUAAGGCCCCAAAUAAAUUCAUCUGGCCUAUUAAUAAUGAGAAUGGUAGUAGAAGUAAUAGCCUUUAACUUAUCAUGAUCCAUUAAAUGAGUAAUUGAAGAAAGAUCCCAAGUUCCAUUAGAGAUAAAAUGAGCAACAUUGAGGUCCAAUUUACCUGAGAUUUCAAAUGGUCAGGAACUAAAUUUGGGGGGUGGGAGGAAAACACCAAUUAAAUAACCAAAAAUCAAUAUCUCCACCAUUUCCUAAAAUCCAACGCAUUCCCUGCAAAAGAAGAGGCCUAGCAUCAAGAAUUCCCUUCCAUGCCACAGAGUUAGAAGCUUCCUUGGUAGCAGUAAACGAAGUUGACACACGAAGGUAUUUACGAGUAACAAUUUAAACCCACCAAUUGUUGGGUUGAGUAAUAAUUUUCCAAGGAAGUUUGCAAAUAGCAACAUUAUUAAAGACAGUCACAGAUCGUACCCCUAAACCGACAUGAGUUUUAAGGGAACAAACCUGGGACCCAUCAAUAGGAUGAUUUCCUAAAUUAGGACCCUAGAAGAACUUACAACAUUCACUAUCCAGCUUAUUAACAAUUUUUGAAGAACAUUUGAAGCAAGAAAGAACAUGGUUAGGAAGGCUUGAAAGAUUAGCUUUAAGGAGGGUAAGUUUCCCAGCACGAGAAAAAGUUCCAGCUUUCCAACCUGCCAGUUUCUUCUGAAUUUUAGCAAGCAGUUCAGCUGAGUUCACAGGGUCCUUCCAAAAAACAAUAUUAUUAAUACUCAAAUACUUCCCAUUAGAGGACUUAUGAGGAUCCCUAAAAUAGCAUAGAAAUCAUCUUUAAGAAGACGAGAAACAUUAUUAGAAAAAUAACAAGUUGACUUGUGAAAAUUUAUUUGUUGACCAGAAGUUAAAGAAAACAAGUUUAGAGUAUUCUUGAUAUUUUUAGCAGCAGUUCCCAUUAACUUUUGCAAACAGAAGACAGUCAUCAGCAAAAACUAAAUUUGAAAUUCGAAAACCAUGCGGAGAAGAUAAAUAAACCAACUUGAGAUUUAGAAGUAGAAGCAAAUAAAUUAAAAUGUCGAAUAAGAGGUUCCAUACAAAGGAUAUAAAUAGAUAAGGAGAUAGAGGGUCACCUUGACGAAUACCGCAGGAAGGAAUAAAAUUACCAUAAGGCUUACCAUUGACCAGUAAAGAGAAAGAUACCGAAGUGAUGCAAUUCAUAAUAAUAUUGGUCUAGCGAUCAUGAAAACCAAAGCGAGUAAGGCAAUAUUUAAUAUAAUCCCAGUUUAAGAAGUCGUAAGCCUUUUCUAAAUCAAUCUUGAUGGCAACAGAACCAAGUUUAGAUUUCUUCUUAUUGAAAGAAUUGAAAAGUUCAUGAGCAAUGAGAAUGUUUUCAAAUAUACAUCUUCUAGGUACAAAGGUGCCUUGAUUCAAAGCUAUGCACUUGUCCAAAAGAGGUCGCAAUCUAUUCACAAUGAUUUUGGAAAUAAUUUUGUACAUAACAUUACAGAGGCUAAUGGGGCGAAAAUGAUUCACUGUUUCUGGAGUGUCAACUUUCGGGAUUAACACAAUGUUAGUAUUGUUCAGAGUAAGAAGACUAGAAUUAUUUACAAAGAAAUCUUAAACUAAAUUAACAAGAGAAGAACCACCACAGAUGGUCGAGUUGGUAAGAGUCUAGGUGUGGAACCCCCAUACCCAAGUUCGAAUCCCAGCCGACGUUAAUUAGAGUUAAAUCCCAAUUUAUUUUUGGUGGCCAGGGGGGAGGAAGCGUUCUGAUAUGAUCUCUCGGCACGGAUUAGUCUCUGGGUCUGGAAAGCCUUUGAGCAUACCGUCGUUGAUAUCCUACAAAAAAAAAAAAAAAAAAAAACAAGAGAAGGACCAACAAUAUUCCAAUUAUGUUGAAAAAUCUUAGCGUGCAAACCAUCUGGGCCAGGUGCUUUAAGGGCACCAAUAGAAAACAAAGCCUCAUGAAUCUCUUCCAUGCUAGGAGUAGUUAAAAGCAUAUUAUUAUCCUCUGCUGUGACACAAGGGGUAAUAAGACUAAGAAACUCAUUGACAUGGUUAGAAGAAAUGGGAACAUUGGCAGUAAACCGCUUCUUGAAAGCUUUCAACAGUAUAGCAGCUAUGUCACUUUGAUCAUCAUGCCAAAUACCAAUAUCAUCUUUCAAUUUAAGAAUGCGUUUACGAUUCCUACGAAUGAGAGCUUGGGUUUGAAAGUACUUGGUGUUCUUGUCCCAAUUGUAACCAGUUUGUUCGUGCUCGUUGUGCCCAAAAUAUCUCUUCAGCAAUACAAGCAUCAUUCAAACGUUUAUUUAGAUCUUGUUCUUGAAGACUUAAAGUCGAGUCCCAAUGUCGAGCUAGCUGAGCCUGUAUAAAAGCUAAACGGUCAUGUAAGGUUUUCAGAAUCUUAAAUAAAUGUCCAAACACAUUAUGAUUCCAAGUAGAAGCCACUGCUUGAAAUUAACCAACAUGAGUCAGAAAUUGCUGUAAGGAGGAACCAUGAGUAGGAGUGUUCCAAACUUGUUUAACAAUGUUAAGAAACGUAGGAUGUUGUAGCCACAUAGCUUCAAAUUUAAAACAUUUUGAUCGAGUAUGAGCAACGUUAUGAAAAGAUAUCCUGAAAUUGGAAGGUUCGGGAGUUCAGUAAGGGGGAAACGAUUGAGCCAAGAAGAGUUAGGCAGAGCUUGGUCUAGACGUUCAUAAAUACUGUUAGGUGGUGGUUGUUUAUUCCACCAAGUAAAUAAGCUACCCUUUGGUUGGAGAUCAAUCAAGCCACAAGCGUUAACAAAAUUCAUGAACAGGUUCAUAUGAAUUGUAUGCAGUUGGGUGCCUCCUUGCUUUUCAGUAAGGGUUAAGGUAUUAUUAAAAUCCCCAAUGACAGUCCAGGGAAUAUUAACAGGAGGGCACAAAUCAAUUAAAUGAGUCCAAAAUUCAGUCUGGAGGCCUUUAUCAGGGAACAUAUACACAAAGGUAACAUAAAACACAUCACCAGACACCAAAUCAGUACAUAAACAAUGAAGGUAGCGAGAUGAGGGAACAUUCACUAAAAUAUAAAGAAUUAAAUUCAGUUUACCCCCUUGCGAUUUGGGGGUGACUUCAUGUUAGUCCCUAUAUUUUUAUUUUCAUCAGUUUACCUCUUGAACUCUUCAAUUUCUGUCUGCCGUGCCCAAAUUCUCAUAUUCCGUUUGAAUUGACCUUUAAUUAUCAGCAGUUAAGGUCCGAUUUGGACAUAUAAAGUCCGAUUUGCCCAAAUUCUAGAUACUGGCCUCACAGUUAAGGUUAAAAUUAUCAGCAGUUAACUUCCGAUUUGGACAGAAUACAGGACAUUUGGUCACGCUUGAGGAAAAUUUAAAAAGUUUGAGAGGUAAACUGAUGAAAUUAAAAAUAUAAGGAUUAACAUGAAGUUACUCCCAAACCUCCAAACCUCAAGGGAGUAAACUGAAUUUAAUUCAAAUAUAAACUUCAUUCCAACAUAAAAACAAGCCACCGGCUUGACCCGAAGCAAGAACUAUAAAUUUUUUCGAAAAAGGAAGCCUAUUGCACAGAUUAACUGCAUGGUCAUAAUUCAUUCUCGUAUCUAAACAACAAAAAAGAUCCAUUUGAAGUAGAGAAUGAUACAAAGUAGCUUGAGUAAAGAAACCCGGCCGGGCACAGCCACGGCAGUUCCAACAAAGCAUUCUCAUGGAUUAAUACCAGUAGGGGAAGUUAUGGUAGCAUGAAUGGUAGCAGCAAUAUUAGCAUUAACAAUGGCAUCAGUAGCCUUAAUAUUGAUAGCAAUAGCAUCUUUGCUUCGAUUGGGAAGAAGGGGAAUAGGGGAUGAUGAUGGCACAUUACUGAUGGGAUGAUGAUGAUAAUAUGAGAAUGGCCAAUUAUGUGCCAUCACUUUCUCUCUCUUACACCCAAACCACCUCUCUCCGUACUCUCCCUCCACCCAAACCCAACCCACUCCAAGACCUCAACCGCCUCUGCAGUUCCGGCAACCUCUCCGUCGCCCUCACCCUCCUCCAAAGCAAUGCGCCCCCACCUCCCAGCACCUCAAAGACGCCAUUGGCGCCCUCCCCUAGGCCUGCGGCCACCACAGCGUCGACAUCGAAACCGGCGGCAAACUCCACCGCAUCGUCUUCCAAUCCACCUAGUUCACUCAAGAAUUCGUCCUCAACACCCGCAUCAUCACCAUAUUCUCCAUGUGCAAAUCUCCUUCCGAUUCGCACCAAUUAACUUUUGGAACGGACGAUGAAGUUGAGCAGAAGUUGAGAGGAAGAAGAAGAAAAGGCUGGAGGGAGAAGAAAAGGCUGAGUUUAUUUUUCCUUUAGCAAAAAGCCAAAUUUAAUAAACUUAACAGAGUUGGACUUGGUAAAGUGUUGUGAGUGGAAUUCCAUGUGGCGAAAUUUUAUUGAUGGCACAUAAUUGGCACAUAGAAAAUUGGGUACAGGUGAUGUCUUUCCGCAUGGAGGACUAAUUUUUGAUGAGAUUCGAUUGUUGAAGAAUGAAUUUGAAGCGGCACAAUGGAAGAAAAUCCCUACAAGCAGCAAUAAAGUGGCGCACCAGUUGGCUAAAGAAGCAGUGAAGUUUGAUGGUGCAAUUAAUCACUUUUGUUGUUUUGCCAUUUUAGCAUUUCUUUUCUGUUUCUCUUUGGGCCUCUUUUUUUUUUUCUUUUCUCAGAAUGUUAAUGUGGGUUCAUCGUGUAAAAAAGGAAGAGGUUGCGUUUAUUAGAGAGUCAGAGAUGGAUGAAAUAGUGGAAAAUAAUCUAAUAAUCUAGUAAUUAUGAAGAUUCCCGGUUGGUCCGCCAGCUGCUUAACACUAAUAAAGAAAGACUUCAAGUAAGCCAAGAGUGGACUUCAUUAGUUUUAUACAACCUGCAGUUGUUCACCUGUUACUUAGAUCGAUUAAACAUAGAGUGCCAUUAGUUUCUGGGAUUAUAGUAAAUAAGUUUCUUCAAUCCCUCAUUGGAAUGGGGAAGGGGAACCAUAUAUUUGCAAGCAGAUGGUUUAUCUUGCAAAAGAUUACUAGCACUUGCAAAAGGAGAUUUCAUGAAAGUUUGUCCUGUACUACUCUUCCCACAUUUGAUGCAAAAAUCUUAGCAAGAGGUUUCCAUGAAGUUUGUGGUGGCGGAACAUCAUUGACAGAAGAGCUGGAGGACAUUCUUGAUCCUGAAGAUCAAGGGUGGGAGACUAGUACCAACUCUAUGACCUGCAUUUACAGGGUUCCUAGCACCAUGCGUCAGGUGAACAGGAAGGCGUUUGAUCCAAGCAUUGUGUCGAUUGGUCCGUACAAUUACGGCGUUGAAAGCCUGCAAGAAAUGGAGAAGCUAAAGCACACAUACUUUCGGCGCCUCUUUCAACCAAACUACCACGAUCAGUUGGAUGAUGAAGUAGCAGUCUUGCAGAAGAAAAAGGCGGUAAAUGAUGCGAAGAAGGCAAUGGAGGAAUUGGAGGUGGUGGAUAGGAGCUGCUACUCGGAACAAUCCAAGCUUAAUAGCAAGGAGUUUGUAAAGAUGAUGUUGAUUGAUGGUUGCUUCAUCAUAGGUUUGUUGAGGGACUCAUUGCAGUCCGACUUUGAGCACACACCCUCCAUCAUUCAAAGGUGGAUGCUUCCAACUCUUGCGCCGAGACUUGAUCAAGCUUGAAAAUUAGCUUCCCCUCUUUGUAUUGCGCAAGUUAUUUCAGCUGACCCAAGCAGGCACCACUUGUCAUGAGAAACCAAUUACAGGUUGGGAAUUAGAAGCACUAGCCCUUCGCUUCUUUAAGCCGCUGCUUCGAGGAUAUGAUGAUGUUCUGACCAUAUCACCGCACCAUUAUGCACCAAAACAUUGUCAAAGUAGCAGCAUCAAGCACUUUCUUGAUCUUUUCCACUAUAGAAUCAGUCCGGACUGCUCCACCCGUUCAGUAGUACAAGUGCCGCGGAGAGGGAAGCGUACCAAGCAGAUUCUAUCAAUACAAGAGCUCAAGGAGGCAGGAGUCAAGCUAAAGUUCACAACAAACCGCACUUGCAAGGCACUAGACAUCACUUUCGGCCGCGGCUCUUGGGGUUGGGGGAAGGUGCUCAUAAUCCCUCGUAUACACAUUGCUGAUCACAGAGGCACAUUGUUCCGGAACAUGUUUGCAUUCGAAAAAUGUGACCCCAACUGCCACCAAGAUGUCACAUCCUAUUUGUUUUUCCUCGACAGCCUCAUCAACUCGGCUGAGGAUGUAGGGAUUCUGCACUACUAUGGAGUCCUGCACCACUCUCUAGGCAGCAACAGAGAGGUGGCGAAACUCGUCAACAACCUUUGCAAAGAGGUUAGUCCGGAUGUUUCCAAGUCCUACUUGUACAAGGUGGUUAGAGAUGUCAAUGAGUACUAUGGAUCCAAGUACGGAAAAAUAAGAGGCUUCUUGGUACACCACCAUUUUAGUAGCUGGUUGGUGGGCAUCUCAACUCUUGCAGCAUGCUUAGCUCUUUACCUAGCACUCGUUCAGACCGGUUCCUCUGUCGCCAGUGCCAGAGAAAGGUUGCAUGAACACACCACAUUUAAAGACUUCCUGAAAGAGGCUUUGCUUUAUGGUCAUAUAUCCAAGUGGGGAUUGGGAAAUGCUCGGAACCUCCAACAGAAGGCCGUGGUCAGUGGCAGUACUGAGAACAUGAAUCUUCCUCGUAUUGACAUGCAGUACUGUAUAUACUACUUGAUUUAGGAAUCGAAUUUUAUCAAGGUAAUAGCUUCUUCACAUCAUCACUAUGAGGGAUGCAGCUAGCUCCUGGCUUUAAUAAAUCUAAACUCGAUUUUGUUUCGUGUGUUUAAUGCCUUUUUCUUUUUCUUGUUUCUCAUCCAAUUUUAUUUUGUUACUCUAUCAUUAUUGGCAGGAUGUGAUAGAAACUUUUCAAAAUCGCUAUUAUACAGUCUUCUACCCAAUGUAUUUGGUCUCUUCCAUAAUCUAUAUGAUAAAAGUUCCAUGGCAUGUGACUCUGUGAGGAAGUAAUAAAUGCAUCAAUCCUAACAACCCUCGAGCUUCUAGAUAGAGAUGAAAAGUGGAGAUAAUAUUCGCACACCAUUCCAUACAUUGAUCUAUAUUUUUGUGGAAAAAAAAGAGAUUGUAUUGCUUAAACAAUUACUAGAAGGUACGUUACAUAUUAUAUGCAAUCAUCCACCUGGUAUGUUGAGGAGAGGUUACAAUCACCAUGAUCGGUAUUUUCAUUGUUUUACAAAUAAAUCUGUAGCAAAAAAGUAAAAAUUUUAUUACUUAAUUCCUUGAAAAAGUAAAUUACUUGUUUAUGACCUCAAUUGGUGUACAAGAAAUAUCCAUUUAGGACCCGUCGCUGGGGCGACUAGGGUUUAGACUUUAGAGAUAGUUGUUUGCAUCCUUGCUUGGCCUAAAUAUGUUUGAUUUUAUUAAACAUAAACUCAUGGAAACUAUCCAGAGUCUAACAUAAUAAGAAAUAACGAGAGCAAUUGAGUAACAUUUUUUUUUAAAAUAAAGGAUGAAAAACUAUAUUAAGUAAAUCUGAAGAGUACGUACAUGGAGUGUUAUGAGGUGGUGAUUUCGAUGUCUGAAUCACAAGGAAGCUCUGUUGGUAUUAGUGACUGGUGAAAGAGGUUGGUGUCGAUCUUCCUGAUAUUCUGUUUUGCACGACGGGAGGGCCUCGAUGGGGAAAAGUGGAUGGCGGUGCUGCAAAAAACAUUGAAAGAAAGAAAUAAACCUAACAAGAUGGGGGAAAGUAGUCCAUUCAAGGACAUCCGAUAAAAUUAGACGAUACAGAGAAGAUUAGAAAAGUGCUAGACAAGUUCACAACAGACAUUACACCGUUACACGUCGGCCACUAGACAUCACUUUCGGCCGCGGCCGUUGUGGUUGGGGGAAAGUGCUCACAAUCGCUUGUAUACACACAUUGCUGAUCACAAAGCCAUAUUGUUUCAAAACAUGGUUGCAUUCAACAAAUGUGACCCAACUGCAACCAAGAUGUUACAUCCUAUAUUCUCUUAAAAAAAGAAGUUAAAUCCUAUUUGUUUUUCCUCGACAGCCUCAUCAACUCGGCUAAGGAUGUAGGUCUUCUGCACUACUAUGGAGUCCUGCAUCACUCUCUAGGCAGCAACAGAGAGGUGGCGAAACUCGUCAACAACCUUUACAAAGAGGUUAGUCCGGAUGUUUCCAAGUCAUACUUGUACAAGGUGGUUAGAGAUGUCAAUGAGUACUAGAGUUCAAAGUAUGGAAAAAUAAGAGGCUUCUUGACACCACCAUUUUAGUAGCUAGUUGGUGGGCAUCUCAACUCUUGCAGCAUGCUUAGCUCUUUACCUAGCACGUUCAGACCGGUUGCGCUGUCGCCACUUCUAGAGAAAAGUUGCUUGAACACACCACAUUUGGAGACUUUCUGAAAGAUUCUUUGCUUUAUCCUCAUAUAUUUAGGUGGGGAUCAUUCGGGAAAGCUCAGGACCUCCAAGAAAAGUUGCAUAAAAACAUCAUAUUUGGAGCUUCUCUGAAAGAGUCUUUGCUUUCGCAUCAUAUAUCUAGAUGGGGAUCAUUCGGAAAUGUAUCAAGCAGCCUUAGACAACAUUUUGAGGCCAUGGUCAGUGCCAGUACUUAGAAUAAGGCCCUUGAUCAUGAUCAUGGUGACACGAAGAACUGUCAACAGGCGAUGGUCAGUUGCAGUACUGCGUAUACCACUUGACAUAGGCAUCGAUUUUUAACAAGUUAGCUUCAACACAUCAGUACGACGGAUGUAGCUGGCUUUCAUUCUUUCUUUCUCGUCCAAUUUUAUGUUGUUACUUUAUUUUCUGCAAAAUGAAUAUUGAAUUUGCCUUUACAUAAAGAAUAGCUGUUGACCUUCAUCGAUCCCAUCGGAUCAGAUGAUGGAGAUGCUCUAAUUAUAUAAGGCCUUGUUUGAUAAUUUUGCAGGAUGUAAUACAGACGUUUACGAGAAUCGAUCUUGUUGAACAGUAAUAAAAUUGAGCAGCUGCUCUACUCAAUAUAUUUGUUUUUCCAUUUGAUCAAAGUUCCAUGGCAGACUCAUGAGGUAAACCUCAAGUGAGGUGUGGAUGUAAUAAUCUAUCGAUCAUGACUAAAAAGUAAAAACCUUAGAGCUUCUAGAAAGGCAACGAAAAUUAUAAGACUUAGAGUUGGCAAGUCAAUCACAGAGAGAGUGCAUAACAAGCUGAUAGAAAAUGGCAAAUAUACAUUUGUUUAGUUUGAACUCAUUAGUGAACAUUUUUUUUUAAGGGUUUAGAAACCCAGCCUACCUGGAAGGCGAAGUCAUAUGCUCAUUAUUCAUAUUAUUUUGAUAAAAUUUGGGAUCCAGUUUUGCUGGUUAACUAAUGGUCAUAGAUGAUCAUCCAAUCAUCUCUCUCUCUCUUUCUCUUUUUUGAUUGGAUGGUCAUCCAUGACCAUCACUUUUGCUGGUUGGCAAAACUGAAUCCUAAAAUUUGCUGCAACGAGGGGGGGGGUCGUAAUACGCGUACCUCAAGCAAGCAUAUAUAGGUGCGUUACAAUGAUCCUCAUAGCUAAAGGACAUCCCGUAGGCAUUCAUGAACCUAAACAUAGAUUUAUAACAGGAUCUAAACUAGCAAAGUGUGACAAUCUAUGAUGGACACAAUUUUUUUUUUUUGGACAAUCUAUGAUGGACACAAUUUGCUUCAAAUUCUUAGAAAAUUGGGGAAUUUACAAUCCAUAUUUUAUCACAAUUUUCUUUUUUGAAUAUGGUUGAUUUUAUAAAGCAUCAACUCAUGGUAACAACCCCAAGUCUAACAGAAUAAGAAAUACCUAGAGUAACAUUAGCCAAAAAAUGAAAAGAACAAAACGCAUGUGAUUUGUAAAAUAUAGAGUAUGAAUUUCACUCCCAUAAUUUUGUUCCUGUAGAACUUACUCUUCAUCCCGUUGAACAACAACGGCUAUAAUUUAAGGAACUGAAAUUUACACUCUUUAUUUUCAUUUUUAAUAACUUUUAUUUUAUCGGUAAAAACUUGUGUAAUAUCUUUCUAUAAACAAGUUACAUGUUAAUCAAAAAAGAAGAAGAAAAAAAAAACCAAGAGGAUGAAUUGUAAAAGGAAAAAUUGUCCAAACAGUAUCUCACAUUUUAGAGAAGCAAUGUUUUAGUAUCCCACAUUUCAAAAACUUCAAAACAGUAUCCCACGUUCUUAUCUCGACUGAAUAAUGAUAUUUGGAAUAGUUAACUCCGUUAAAAAAACUGACGAAAGUUAUUUUUAUUCUGAAAAUAACUAAUUUACCCUUGUGUUUUUAUUUUGAAUUAAAUUUAGUUUACCCCACUGUGGUUUAGAGGUGAAUUCAUGUUAGUCCUUAAACUUUCAAUUUCAUCAUAUUACCCCAUAAGCUCUUGUUUUUCUGUCUGCCGUCUCCUAUUACUCAUGCUUCGUCUAAUUGGGACGUUGAAAUUUAAUGUCUUGUGAUGACGUUUUUGGGGGUUGAGAAGCUAAAUUAUCAGAAAAACAAGAGCUCAGGGGUAAUCUGAUGACAUUAAAAGUUUAAGGACUAACAUGAAGUCACCUUUAAACCACAAUAAGGUAAACUGAAUUUAAUUAUUUUAUUUUUUCUAAUAAUAAAAGCAAUUUUUUUUCUCUUUAUUCCUCGACCCUUCCUUUCCUUGCCUCAGAUGAGUCGGAUCCUUUGCUCUCCCUUUUCUCCGUUUUUCUGUUUUUUUCCUUUCCUCUCAUUCUCGACCCAAUCAUCUAAUCUUUCUCUCAUUAUUAAAUCAAAAGAAAAAGAGAAUCUUUCUAUGAAGAAAAUGGCAUAAACAUGCCCAAAUCAACAUAUGCCUUGGAUUCAAAUAUGAUUGUGCAUCAACACAAAAUGCUAUUAUGCAUUGAGUCUUAAUUAGUUAUAUUCAAGCCACUAGAUUUCUGCUUCGGAGUCCUUUGCAAACACCAUAAACUGAUACCCAUCAAGUUGUGGAACCCAGAUGAACCGGAAUGAAAACGGAUGCGUCGAACCAAUUCACACUAAGAGAGAGCCUCCACCACCGUGACGAUCUUUAGCUUCAUUGGCAUAACUAGGCAAUACCCAUAGCACUUCUCCAACAACAUAACAACAUUGAUAGAAAACUCAGAUCUGAAAGAUUGUGGUGAUGGUUUUUUUUGGGUUUGUCGAUGGUGACCUGGACAAAGAUUGUGCACGAUCAUGACGAUCGGAUCGGCGGUGGUUGCCGGCCACUCCGGGUUUGGGACAAAGAUUGUGCUUCUGUUUCAAACUUUGCUAGAUUUGGAUUAUGGUUUACGGUUGGCAACGGUGGAAGGGCUAUUGACUGAGCUUGGGCUCCCCAGGCGGCACCGCGGCAGCGGACUCAGAUAGCGAAAGCGGCGAUAAUUGAUUAUGGCCGAUGACGAUCCAGCCUUUGGAGGGCACCCUAAGUACAUUAAGUUCAAAGGGGGAAAUGAAAAUGUUGUUCUUCAACACUACUCGAUUCAAUCCAUGUUUUAUCUGGAGAGGAGGAAAAACAUAGAGGGAGAGAAAAUGAAUAAUGUUUAUGAAAAAAAAACAAAUUAGAAAUUGACGAAAAUAAUCUUUAAAAUAUUCAACCGUCAUUCUUCCGUCGGGAUAAGAACAUGAGAUACCGUUUUGAAGUUUUUAAAAGGUGAGAUAUCAAAAUUUUAUUUCUCUAAAAGAUAAGACACUGUUUAAACAAUUUUUCCAGUAAAAUAAAAAGUGUGGAUUUCACUCCCAUGUAUCCAUCUCUAACUAUUUUGGGCCGUAAAAAGGGCUAUAAAAAGUUUCGUCUCCGUCUUUUCAUAUAAUCCAAUUGGAGUGGCCAUAGCUAGACGAAAUCAUUUCCGUCUCUUCAUAUAAUCGUAUGAUUCAUAUCCUCCUCUCCCAUUUCUGUUUGUAUGUUCUUCUCCUUGUGUUGUCCUUCUUACUAUGAUGUUUCUGGUUGGGUAAAUUUCUUAUUCAAGAAAAGGGAGAAAUGCAGUUUAUGCAGCUAACCUGUUUGCUAAAAUGCCCGAGAGAGACGUUGCUGGAGCUUCUGGUAAACAUUUGCAGCGAUACUCGUACACAACAAUACAUGACAGGUUGCUGGACCUGCUGAAGAGGUUAGUCAUUCGAAAGAACAUAAUUCUUUUCCUGGAAUAUGUUCUGAUAUUGCAUUAGAGUGAGCUCAUUUGUCAUAGCUCGAUGCAUACAUCUUGUUUCACAAUUACAUAUUUGAAGUUUUACUUUUUACAGCGCUAUCAAAUUCGAAACUGAACUGAUCCUUAGAUCGGUAACAUAAAACAUUUGAGUUACUAGUAGUGACAUGAUUCCAAUUAACUUCAUAAAACUUAGCAAUGUCGAUACUCAAUUCAACAAAUCACACAACCGUCCUUCAGAUGCAAUGUUAAUGACAAACCCAGUUUUAGUUUGAAGGAACAUUAGACUAUCACCAUAAGGUUGCAAAACAUGGCUGUUCCUUUAUCUCCUGUGCCUCAACUCCAUCUUGUUACCUAGAAUCACAAUAACAAGUUCAGGUUUAACCAGUAGUUGGAGGAAGUAUAAAGGAAGCAAGUCUUAUAACAGAAUGCAUUGGGAUGCAAUACUGACAAUACACAACGAUCAUCUCAAAAUCUUAUGUAUUCUAUAAACGAGUAGCUUCCUAGAGUGACAAAAGUUCGCCUCUAUAUAUUAAAGCCAAGGCAUAAGUCACCUACGAGCAAUGUACAUUGAUGUACUGCAACUAUAUAAGUGAGAGACAUUGAAUGCACACUCUAAUCCACCAUCCCUCGUUUAGAGCUAAACUCCAACAUACCAUGAUCAUAAAAACACAGCAAACAUACAAAACUACUUCAUACCUAGUAAAGCUUUAGAGACUGAGCAACAUACGAAGGCUAUAGGCCACAUACUAUCUCUAACAUUUAAUUCACUAAUUCUUUGGGCUUUCUGACUUUCCUCCAAUGUCUUAAUUGAUACACGAGGAUAAAGGGGUACGAAGAGAAAUAAUUAAUGUCAGGGUAAGUCUUAAUCUUAUUUUCACCAAUUCUUCUAGGAUAUAAUAAUGAAGCUACAGAAAAUAGAUAAACGACUAAAGAUGUAUAAUUCUUACAUGAAUGGAAGCCUAUGAUUUAUCAGUCGAGUCCUCCCAGUUAACUGCAAUGACUGUAGGGGAAUGGACAAGGUCAUCCCAUAGUUGCCCCUUAGUUUUUGCAAUGGUUGCAGCGAAUUGUUUUGGCAUAUUAGUCAAUUUAAAUUCAGUGAGGGUCUUCAAGUGCUUCAACCCACCUGGGACAUUCAAUUUCUUGCAGGAUCUAAUCUCCAACUCCCUCAGAUUUUGCAUUGCAUUGUCCUCCACAACCCAGUCUUCUAGUUGUUCGAGCUUCCACAACUUUAAGACCACGAGCUUAGGAAAGCCUAACAUGGAGCAAGUCAUCUCUCUACCUGUAUAAGAAUUGGAGUAAAAACAGACCACUUUCAGGUUGGGGAGCUUCUCCAACUUUGGCAUUGGAUCAUGUGAGAGAGAAGUGGCUGACAAUGUAAGAUCAGUGAGGCUUUCGGGGAAUGUAUCUAUGAUGGGGUUGGAAGGGCCUAGCUUUCCAAACAAAUUUAGAGUGACAAGAUUCUCAAGGUCUGACAAAGGCAUGUCUAUUAGAUCAUUGGGUUCACCCAUUUCACCAAUUGAUCUCAUUCGUAAAGAUUGCAGGUGCUUCAGCUUUACAAUCCCAUCUGCUAAUCCUUUUUGCUCUGAUAGAUCUAAUUGGAAUGCCAGUCCCAAUUUUCUGAGAUUGAUCAGCUUGUCCAGCCCUUCUUUCAAAGGACUAUCCUUGUCAACAAAUAUGCCCCACAAUGUCUGAAGAUUUUUCAGGGACCUUCCAGGUUGUUGAUGGACAAAUUUACUCCCGUGACUCUGGUUCAAGUAUAAAUGUCGAAGUUUCUGCAGCUUCCAUAUCGAACCAGGCAGACUGUGGACAUAUGUAUGCUUCACAUCCAAUGUUUGGAGGUUGUGCAAAUUGCCAAUAGAUGCUGGGAGUGAUUCAAGAUAAGUCCACCUCAAACCCAGAUAUCUCAACUUGCUCAACUUUCCAAUGGUGUUGGGAAGUUCUGGUCUAAAUACACGUUCAAGAUCAAGAACUUGAAGCUGAAAGAAAAAACCACCUGCAAGGCCCUUGCGAAGAAAAGUACCUAUUUCUUCUCCAGGUUUAUUUCCUUCUCGAGUAUCAAAGGAUAGAAUGGAGAGGAUAUGUCUGUAACUGUCUUGAAAACUUGAGCUCAGCUCACCAUGAAUAUGACUGAAGGUUGGAUCAUUUUUGUUCAACUGAUCCGUGACUCUCUCUGCUCUCAUAUCUUCCGGCGUUAGUUGUUGUAGAGCAUACGGCAAGCUACAUGUCUUGACUUCUCCAUUCUGCUUUUUCUCAAUCACCUGAAUCAUGCACCGGUCAAUCAACUCUGACAGAUAUUUGUAAGCAACCUCUUCAAAAGUUUCUGUGUUAUGUUUGGUUACUUCAACCAAAUCUUCUGCAAUCCAGAGAGCAAUUAGUCUCCUUGCCGGGAUUUUGAAGUCCUUUGGGAAGAGCUUAAAGUAAGACAGACACUUCAACAGAUGAGGUGGCAAGUUGAUGGUGAAGUUUUCUAACAAUGGUCUGUCAUUCUGUGUGAUGAAGUUUUCUAACAAUGGUCUGUCAUUCUGUGUGAUGAACCGAAGCACGCUUUCUAACUCCUCAGCGGUGCUCACCUGUUCUUUCCCUGACAUUAGGUAUCCGAUAUGUAAAAUGGAUUUUGGUAAACCCCCACAUUUACCUAAAAUUUCUUUUGCUAGCAUUUUUUCUGUUGGUCGUAUGUGCACAAUCUGAUUAAACAACUUCAAGCUCUCUUCUCUGGUUCGCAGCCGAAGUUGGUGGGGAGGACUGCUGACUUGUGAGUUAGCCAAAAUGUUGAUGCGUGAGGUGAGUAGAAUUCUGCUUCCAGGAGGUGAAAUUAUUGGCAAUUUUGAUUUCAGAAUAUUCCACCUUUCCAUUGACAACAUAUUAUCUACAACUAAAAGGUACUUAUUCUCUUUCAAGAUAUCAUGCACCUUUUGGAUCAAGGAUGCAUUUUGAUUCGCUUGCCUGUCAAAUUUAAGAGAGUUCAAGACCUGGUUUGCUACAUCUUCCAGAAAUGCAUUUUCAUCAGAGUACACAUAACUUGCAUAAACCCAGGCACGGCAAGGAAAAUGAUCCACAACAACUCCAUGGCCAUAUAUUUUCUUCGCAAGUGUUGUCUUACCUAUGCCCCCUAUCCCCACAAUAGAAACAACAGGGUCACGAUGGCUGUUGCUUGUCAGUUGUGAAACCACUGCACAUAUAUCUUCAUCCAAACCAACCACCGAGUCCAACUCUUCCCGUAAUUCAAUGCCAUAUGCAUUCAUGCAUCUCACAAAAAGAUUGAUAAUUUGAUUGAUGCGGUCAAUCUCACGAGAAAGCUUUAUCCCAGCUCUUGUCUUGAAUAGAUGGUUCCUCCAUACACUGUCUGAACUCUUCAUAAAGGUCUCUACGGAUUUUUCUGCACUUUGAGCAAUUAUUGUCGAUUGCUCCAACCAAGCAAUUCUGGAAUUAUAUCUGCCUUCAACUAUUCCAGCAUCACCUACAAGUGCAUACAUAUUUUCCAAUUGAUUGCAUAGUGAUGUGACUUCAUAUAGUACUUCACCUAAUACAUCCGACUCCUGAUUGAGGUAGAACCUCAUCCUGUUUACCACAAAUGAGAUGAAUGUGUCAUCUGAGGUCUGAUAUGAGGAUUGAUACACGAGCUUUGAUGAA
rnacentral:lncRNA from 1 species